rnacentral:lncRNA from 1 species
GUCAAUUUUAUAAUAAACAUAUCUUCCUCAUUCCCUGACCUUAGCAUUUGGAUUGAAACUUGGUUUUGUUCUGAGCUAAGAGAUCCCAUGAGGAGGGUAUCUUUAUAAGUUCUAACUGAUUGCACUUGUUGUAGGUUUCUAUUGAUUUUUUGAAUGAAAGGUUUCAGUUGAUUGAAUAUCUGGACACCGUAUCAUGAUUGUUCUAGUAAUAAGACAUGACGGUAAAACUGAAAUUUGCCUGAAAUCUUUAUAAGCUGUAAACUAAGCUGAUGAUUUGACAUUUAUUAUCCAUAUGUAUUUGUUGGUUUGGUAGUUGGAAUAUUGAACCCCUUCUAGGCUUCUACUGUCAUCAGAAAAAUACAUUUUUUAUACUAAACAAAUUUCCACGUUUACAACUGAUUUCAUUUGUUCCAGAUUUCUCUUGAAUCAAUCUUUGGACAAGACAGGACCUGCUGUAUACUUGGUCCUGGUUUCUCUUGAAUCAAUCUACAGGUUGUUAACCUGCUGUAAUAUGAGGGUCAAAACUGGAUAAAAAGCUUAGUUCUUUAUUAGGUAAUCUCUACGUUGCAUGAAAAUUGUGCAGUUUGCUCACUCAAGCUUGAGGAAAAUCUGUAGCAUGCAUGUUUAUUCUUUAUUACGUAAUCGUGGAAUCUUUUACGGUGAAGUAUAAUAUUAUGUACUUCUAUUUAUUUUCUAUGAUCCAGCUUGAUCAUUAUGCAUAUCUUUAGUAGGUAAUUUCUACAGUCUGCACUGCAUGACAACUGCUCAUUUUAUAUGGACAGAAGCUUGAGAAGAAUAUCAAACUAAAAUGACUGACUCGGAAGAACCAGUGAUAUAUGAAUCUGGUGGUUAUUGUGAAAAUCCACAACAAUUUAGUAUAGCUGGCUACCAAGUUGAGUAGAUCCCUGUAAACUAUCUUAUCUUCUGCAUCUGUUGUUUCUGUUAUUACUCUUCCAUGCAUACCGGUUAGUUCUUCGCGAAAUGACAAUUCAAAAGGAACUGUGAGGCUUGUUCUCACAUUGUAUUAUCAUUUAUCAACCUGAUGCCCUCUUCAUUGUACUGUCAAUUUUAUUUAUCAACCAGGUGCACAUGCUGAGUUUGAUGUCUAAGCGGCUCACUUUGUAACCUGAUGGGAUACUAAUUGUCCCGCGAAUUGGUUCUGAAAGAGUGAUAUGGGUUACCCGGAUUAUUCAUUUUGCAGAUUAGAUAGGAUAUGAAAUGAAUUUUUAUUUUAUUUUUCUCCAUCCGUCUAGAAAAAAACUUCCAUAACUAUUUAAAUUGCAGUUAUACUUGAAACAUCAAAUCAAAUUUGUGUGAAUCCAGUAUUAAUUGUCUCAGAUUUACCCAACUAUGACGUAUCUAUGUUUAAAGAGCGUCUAGUGUAAUAUUUUGACUAUAAUUCUGGCCGGAGGAAGUAUUAGAUUUCGGUGCCAAACAACAUGCGUGCAGAAAAGAACUCAUGUGCAAAACGAUUUCUUCUUUUUUACUGUUAAGUCCACUCAUCUUUCCCGAAACCAUAUGACCCACGAAUAUCUGAAAACUUCUUCGCAAAAAGAAAAAAGAUUAAAUACCACGGAACCCAUAUUUUUGGAACAUUAGUAUCGCAAAUCACAACUUUUGAACUUUUUCUAACACAAACGCAAUUAUAAAAAUAAUUGGUUACAGAAAACGCAAAUUUUGCACUUAAGCAUAUUCACACCUGAUCCGCCAUGUUGGUCACACUCGUCAACGUCUAGGAGUGAAGAUAACAUGUUUUGCAAGCGCCCUGGUCCGGAUCUCGGUCGAACCGGCCGGUUCGACCCCGACCAACGCCUUGACUCUGUCAGUUCGACCCCGAUGAUCGCCUUCACUCUUACAACUGCAUGGCCCGCACCCCUAUCCGAUCAACCGAACCAUUUUUCGUCCUCAUUGUACCGAGCCCGACCAAUUUCGCAUCACUUUUCUUUUGUUAUCGGAAAUGAUAAUCAUCGAACCGGGCUUGAACCGCGGCUCGACCCAAAUCUAGACCGGGCCGUCAGAAAAUCGUGCUAAUUUGAGGCCUGUAAUUUGACAUGUGGGCCUCACAUGUCAGAUCCGUUGUCAACCUGCUUGAUUUUCAAAAUUUGGGUUUCUCGUACCCAAUUAGCACAGGAAUUGUGUUAAAUGUAUUAAUUUUUUCAAAGUUGUGGUUUUUAUAAAGAUGUUGUUCAAAAAAUAAGUGCCGCGUGAUAUUCAAAAACAAUUAAGACACGGAGGUCCCAUUCUUUCUCCUUCACAAACAGACGACGGGAACCCACCGGAGCUCGCUCCGGCGCCAUGCUCCCCCUCCGAAGCUGCAUCCUCACCCGUCUCCUCUCUUCCUCGCCCUCCGCCUCUCCUGGCUCCUCUCUCCACCUCCUCUCCGCGGCCGCCCCCGCCGUUUCCCCAAAACCUAGCUUCGCCGUGGAGGACUACCUCGUCGACAACCUGCGGCCUCACCCGAGCCCAGGCACUCAAGGCCUCCACGAAGCUGUCCCUACUCAAGUACCCCACCAAGCCCGACGCCGUCCUCGCCUUCCUUUCCGGCGUCCUCGGCCUCUCCAGCGCCGACAUCGCCGCCGCCGUCGCCAAGGACCCGCUGUUGCUCUGCGCCAAAGUGGACAAAACCCUGCGCUCUAACGUCGCCGAGCUCACCAGCCUCGGCCUGUCGCGUCCUGAGAUCGCGCGCCUCGUUGGGUUCGCCGGCCACCAUUUCCGCUGCAGAUCCUUCGUCUCCAAGCUGCAGUACUACCUGCCCUUCUUCGGCUCCUUCGAGAAACUCCAUUAGGUGAUCCAUCACGGCAUCCACCUCAUCGGCGCUGACCCUGAAAAGGUAGGCAAGCCCAACGUCACGUUCCUGCGGGAGUGCGGGCUGAGUACUUCUGACAUUGUCAGCAUAUGCACCAGUGUGCCAAGGAUGCUCUGCACCAACCCGGAGCGCGUCCGGGCGAUGGUGGAACGGGCCGAAGGUCUCGGCGUGCCGCGUGGCUCUAGGAUGUUCAAGCACGCGCUGGCCACCGCCGCGUCCCUCAGCAAGGAGAAAAUCGCUUGCAAGUUGGAAUACUUGAAGAAGACGUUCAGGUGGUCGGAUGCCGAGGCAGGCAUUGCUUUGUCGAAGUCUCCAUAUGCGCUGAGGGGCUCCAAGGACAUGCUGCGCCGCAGGUCAGAGUUCCUGAUCUCAGAGUUGGGGUUGGAACCAGCAUACAUUGAUCGUCGGCCAGGAAUACUCACUUACAGCCUGGAGGGCCGGCUCAGACCCCGUUACUAUGGUGUAAAGUUCCUUAAGGAAAAUGGAUUGCUAGGAUCCAACCGGGACUACUAUAAUGCAGUUGCGACUAGCGAGAAGGUAUUCCCAGAGAAGUACAUAUGGCCUCACAAGGAAGCUGCACCAUUCCUCGCUGCAGACUAUGCAGCCGCUUGUAGAGGCGAAGUGCCUACUAGAUUCAGAUUUACAUGAACCAUGAACCUGCCAUGACAAAUGUGUAACCGUAUGUGGCGCCACUCCGCGCAGUAAGCUGGUAAGUCCUGUUUCAGUGUUCUUCACCCUACCAGACACCAGUUACCCUCUCUAUAGUAUGUCUGGCUUGAUUGUUUCGUCGUCUUCAAUGUCUGAUGAAACUGAUUUCUGAACCCCUGACAAGUCGAUGUCAUCAUUCGGUAGAGAAAAAGGAAUGAUCUGUUUUCAUGUCAAAUUUAUCUAGCAUGUUCCAUUUUCAUUUCAUCCUCCUUUUUCUUCCAUCAUAUGUCAGUACUACAAUUGCAGUUCAUUUUUAAUAUUGUGAUUAUGCUUACAAAAAUAUAUUUCUAUUGGGUGUAUGUUUUUUUUUGCGUUGUGAUAUGUUGGUCCAAGGUUGAUUGUAUUUGUUACUAAAUCUUGUAGCCGCUGGUAAAAUUUUCAAAUCUUUUUUUUUUGAGGAACGGGCAGGAGCACUGCCUUUUCAUUAAGAAGAGAGUAAAAAGUAUUUACAGAGUGGUGACGUUAUUUUGGAAGGGGUAACGCACAAAACCCCGACACAACACAAUCGAGAAAUCUAGUCGGGCUCGGGUGGCAGACCGACGACCGGGAGGCCGAAAGACAAACUACGCUGGGUAAUCUCCUCGAAGGCUAGAUAGGCGACCUCGACAUAGGUAAGGCGCGUGAGGUUGAAGAUGCGACGGUUGCGCUCCUUCCAGACGUUCCACCAGACGUAAAUGAGGUGACCGCUCAUCCUCCUCCUAGCGGUCUUGUCAUCGUGGGGAAUGGAGGCGUCCCACCACGCAUCAACUGAGGCAGAGGGCGCCGUUGGUGCCGCGACCUCACCCGUCCAAGUAGCCACCAUCCGCCACACACCACGAGUAAACGGACACGCCACACACAAAAUGAUCGGCAGUCUCAGGAGCUCCCAAGCACAGCUGGCAGGUCGGGUCAUGAGGCCAUCCCUGAAUGGCGAGGCGAUCGGCCGUGAGGAUGCGAUUCUGCAGGAUAAGCCAAGAGAAAACUUUGCAUUUGGGCUCAGCGAAAGCCUCCCAGAUUUUGGCAGCCGUGAAGCGUGGAUGAGAGCCCAUGAAUUGGGCCAGAUAAGCUGAGCGGUAGGAGUAGGCGCCAUCGGAGGUCCAGAUCCAGGUGAUGGAAUCCGGUCGGUUGGGAUCAAGGACGGUGGAACUGACGAUCCUAGCCAGGUCCAGGAAUUCACGCAGCUGCUGGAGGGAGGAGAGGCGACCGACGGCUCUAAUCCAGUUCCCGUUGAGCAAUUCCUUGUAAAUAGAUAUGUUCUUCCGAGACGCGAUCUUGAAAAGUUCAGGGGCCCGGGAGCAGAAGGCCCCCUCGCCAGACCAGUUAUCGAGCCAGAAUUGUGCCGUGUUCCCAUCUCCCACCGUGAUCCUAGUAGACGCCCGGAACAGAGCCAUAUCCGUGUUGUCGCAAGGCAGGCAGGAACCCACCCAAGGCCUGUCCGGCUCAGUCCAUUUGAGCCAUGGCCAGCGUAGCCUUAGGGCAUGCCCAAAACGCUCAAUGUCCAUGAUUCUCAGGCCACCAAGGGGCUUCGGCCAACAUACCGUCUUCCAGUUGACGAGCGAGUGUCCGCCGCCCGCCGUCUCACUGUCGUCGCCCUUCCAGAUGAAACCCCUCGAGAUCCGAUCCAGCUUAACCCUGACCCAUUUCGGGAGCUUGAUCACCGAGAGAUGAUAGGUCGCCGUGGAUGUCAGCACUACCUUGGCAAGCGUGACACGGCCCGCCUGGGAGAGGUUCUUACCCUUCCAACCCUUGAGGCGACCGCCAACCUUGUCAAUGAGGGGCUGGAAGUCGUUCUGGAGGACUUCCCCGCUACGAUCGCCACCUUCCCUGGCAAAUUUUCAAAUCUGAAAAGGUAACCUGUUUGACACUAUAGCAUGACCAACAAAUGAAUUAUUAUAAAUCAUUUACAUCUGUCAUUAAUCUUGAGAACUGUGAACUACGCCGAUGGUGAUGGCGUAAAGUAUUUUUAUCGGUAUUUCUCUGCUAUUCUACUUGUAUAUGUCAUAUACGAUAACGCAUCUGUUCACAGGACCACUUUAUAUGUUGACAGCAAACAAUCGAGAAACUGUAGACUCAAAAAUUGAUUUCUCAUAUCUUCCAAGAUAUCUUCCUUAACUCAAAUUGAAAUUGUUUGAUAUCAUGAAAUAAAGCAGCAUGCCUUUUGCCAAACCAUUUUUUUUUUGCAAACUAGAAUUUUGUUCUGCAGUUUUCUUAUGCUUUGACUUUUAAAAGCUUCAUUCGGAUGUAGGGCCAUAAUGGAUAGAAGGUUCUCUUUCAAAAAAAAAAAAUGGAUAGAAGGUUGCAUUGUCCGCUAUUUUUUUAUAUGCUUCAGUUCAGUCUGUUCAGAACUACAGCCAUUUUGUAAACAAUAAAAUCCUUUAUCACACCCCCAUCUGAAUGACAUGAGUUCUUAUAUUUUCAGAACACUGGAACUCGGCUUAAUCAGUUCUGUUGACAAAUCACUUUCUUAUCUUAGAAUAUAUCGGUGAUUAGUGCAUUUGAGAAAAAACUAUUUUAUUGUUUUUAUGUGAUCUAUACAUAAGAAAGCCCUUUAUGGGAUUCAAGGGAAACAUGCAACACAUGUGGUGCCUUCUAUAGGCUUAGGGCCAUUGAAGUAAUUUUUCUUUAGGUACCUUCCUUCACAUUUCUUUAUAUGAUGGUUUAUUGAUCCAGCCGUAAUGGCUCCUCUGUAGUGUUUGGUUUUGUUGGAACAAGUUAUCUUUUGCUAACAAAAUAGUAGAUAUAUGUGUGAGAUUCCUUCAUCAGUUUUGCAAACAUUAGUUGCCCUGUAGCUUCUGAACAGUAUUUUAGCUUUAUUUGCGCCUGUAUGCUCACGAGCUGCAACAACCAUCAUGUCCCGCAAAUUGUCUCUGUGCAAUGCUAAUUACAUUUGUCGCUCAUUUUCGGAGUACUCAGCUGAUUGGUAUGACACUCUUAAUAAGGUGGUUACUCGAUGUGCUGUCUGCAUGCUAGGCCUGUGUGUCAAGUACUGCCUUUUAUCCCUUUUACUGAUAAUUCUAUAUUUUUUACUUGUAUUUUGAUUCCAAUGACGCACGCGAUUAUAACAAUGUCCAGUUGACCAUUGGAGUUGCUCCAGGAAGGUAGAUAAGGAGUUCAAAUCCAAUUUUGGAAUAGAUAGGUUUUGAUGAAUCAUGCAAUGCGUUUCUUAUUUAGGACAAAAUUAACAGAAGCAAUGAUAGCUUUUGGUCUAACCACUAGCUAAGCUGUGGCAUCCCGUUGCUUGAGCAAAUCAAAUUCCAUUUCGGAGCGGUCAUGAAAUUUGCAUUGCUUAUUAUUCUUAUUGAUGUAAAAAAACACAAGUAAUGUUUUAGUCUUACCACAAUGUGCUGCUAUAAUAUCCAUUCAUUUUGGUUAGUUGCCUAACGUUAUAUUGCCCUUGCAUUUCUGGUUAUUUUUAUUAGAAUAACAAUGAUGGCAUCUUCUGUAACAGCUUCCAUUGGGCCUCUUUUAGAUUCAUAAAGCAGCUUACAUUUAUAUGCCAUUGUCUGAUCGAUUUUUCUCCAAAUUGAACUGAAUGCAGAGCCAGUAUUGCUUCUAUGCCAAUUUUUCUGGAAUUAACUAUGAACAUCAGGUUUGGUUUCAGGUCUGCAAUUCAGUCUGUCAUCCAUUGGCAGCAAAGUCAUCUUUGCAGCAUCCCAUUUACUUACUUGCAGAAGAGACUUCAUGGAGCUAUCCAGGUGCUUUGCCUUGGGUGUGGAUGAAACACUGAGGAUGUAUCCGCUGAAUUUCCAGAAUGCAGUUUUCUUGAAUUUUCUGCCUAUUGGUUUUAUGUAAACUCUGGGUUGGCAUUACCUGCGCCUUUUCAUGAAAAACAGCGUUAGCAGGCCCUCACGAGCCAUCCGUGCUAGUAACACCUCUGGUCGAAGUGUCGAGAAAAAUACGAAAAGAGAUACACGUAGGGAAUUCAUAUGCAUAGGCGGAGCCAGCGCUCAGGCGAAGCCUGGGCACACGGAACAAGCUAGAAAAAACUAUUAUAUUUUACCAAUCACAUAUAUACUAAGAAAAUAUAAGUGGUAAUGUUGACAUUUGACAAAGAAAAAUCCACGACAAUCUCAAUUUUUUUUGAAACAACGAGCCUCCCAGCCAAUUUCCAUUAAAGAAACCGCCUUUUGAAUUUCAGUAAGAUCGUAUUAGUAGUUGCACAUAAAUAAAUAUAAAGUACGAUAGCAAACAAGCCACGAGCCAAUAAGCCACCAUGAACUAGCAAAUCGAUAACAAAAGUCCAAAAUUCAAUGUCGACUGCACAUCAACAAGGCCACUGAGUAUUCACAAAAAAAAACAAGGCCACGAGAAAAUCUAGAGAAACAAAUGGAUUAGUAAAUCAUCCAUUAUAUGAAAUGGAUUGAGAAAAUAAAACUUACCGAUGAGGUGCUAAUUAGGUCCAAAUGCCCUCUAUGAAACCCCAUAUGGCAAUGUACCAUGAAGAAAUUGGGGGAGGGAGACGACGCGAAAUGCAAGUAAACGAAUAGGGGACUGGAGAGGCGACCAGCAGCAAGGAGAUCGAUCCAUCGGCGGCCUCAGCCUAGAUCGCCAGACAACCAUGCCAAGCGCCCAAGGCCCAAGGGAGAGAGACAGUAGUAGGCAGGCGCAAGAAAAAGAAGGAAAUAGCCGCUGUUGGCUGUGGGCCAUCUUACAGAAAUCAAGAAGGAAGCGAAUAGGUGCAAGACAGUUCGAUGCUUUGUGGGAAAAAAGGGAUCGAUCGUCAUCUUCAGGGGCACAGCACACACCUGGGCGCCCGAUCCGCCCGUGGAAGCUCGCCGGAGCUUCGGGUAGGAGGCAGCGGGAAGCCCGGGCACGUGCCCUAUGUGCCCGCACGGUGCCUCUGCCCAUGUUCAUAUGUACGGCGCAUCCGGUGAAAACCACCUUUGUGCCAUGAAAAUGCCGCUGUAGUUUUCGAAAUUUCCCCGGAAACAACGUGUUUUGGGGACAUGCAAAUUAUGACCAUCCGCCCAAAAUAUUUGCAAGAUGAAUUAACUCGCGCAAAGUAGGUUAAACUAGUCUAUCUCCCGUAAAAUAUCUCCUUUGUGAUUUUCUUUCUCACAGAUUAUACACGGCCACUAUUUUACAGUACCAUAUUUUAGUAGGACUAUUUUCUACAUUUCCCCCUUUUAAAAAAACGAGUGUAAAAAUGAACUAUUUUUCUACAAGUAUGAAUUUUCAUAAUGUUUUCAAAUUUGAAAAAGGCAAAGUUUAGAAGAAGAACGGGUUCCCUAGAGUUGAGCUUUCCCUCGCUCUUCAUGGCGGACAAGUAGAAGGCAGUAGCCCGCCGGAAAUCUUCCCCUCGCCGCCGGCGCCAUGCUCCGCCUCCGAAGCUUCGCCGCCGUAACCCAUUUCCUCUCUUCUUCUCCCUACGCCUCCCUCGGCUCCUCUCUCCACCGCCUCCUCUCCGCGGCCGCCUUUUCCGCAAACCCUAGGUUCGCCGUGGAGGACUACCUGGUGGAGACCUGCGGCCUGACCCUAGCCCAGGUGCUCAAGGCCUCCGCCAAGCUCUCUCACCUCAAGUCCCCCACCAACCCCGACGCCGUCGUCGCCUUCCUCUCCGGCGGCCUCGGCCUCUCCAGCGCCGACAUCGCCGCCGUCGUCGCCAAGGACCCCAAGUUCCUCUGCGCCAGCGUGAAGAAAACCCUGGCGCCCGUCGCCGCCGGGCUCACGGACCUCGGCCUGUCGCGUGCCGAGGUCGCCACCAUCGCCUCGUCGGCCCCCUGCUACUUCCGCACCAGAUCCAACGUCGCCAAUCUGAAGAACUACUACCUGCCCUUGCUCGGCUCCUCCGAGAACCUCCUCCUGGCUCUCAAGAAGAACUCCAGGUUUUUCUCUUCGGACCUCGAGAGGGUGGUCAAGCCCACUGUCGCGUUCCUGCGGGAGCACGGCUUCUCGGAUCGCGAAAUCGUCAAGGCGUUGGUAUCCAGAUCGAGGAUGUUCGCCGCCAAACCGGAGCGCUUCCGUGCGAUGGCGGCAUGGGUCGAUCAAGGCCUAGGCGUGCCCUGUGGCUCUGGGAUGUUCAAGCACAUUCUGCUCGCCGCCGCAAGGCUCGGCGUGGAGAAGGCCGUCGCCAAAAUGGAGCAUUUGAAGGACACGCUCAGGUGGUCGGAUACUGAGGCGAGCCUUGCUGUUUGUAAGGCUCCGUUGGUGCUGUGGAUUUCCAAGGACUUACUGCAGCGCAAGUCAGAGUUCCUGAUCUUGGAGGUGGGCCUUGAACCGGCGUACAUCGCUCGUAGACCCGUACUGCUGAGUUAUAGCUUGGAGGGCCGGCUAAGGCCCCGGUACUACGUUGUGAAGUUUCUCGAGGAAAAUGGAUUGCUAGAUCGCGGCAGGGACUACUAUAGUAAAGUCAUGAUCAGCGAGAAGGUAUUCAUGGAGAAGUUCAUAUGCCCUCACAAGGUAGCUGCACCGCACAUCGCUGAAGACUAUGCAGCUGCUCGCAGAGGGGAAGUGCCUGCUAGAUUCAGAUAGACUUCAACCAAGGACAGGAAUGCAAAUUGGUAACUGCAAAUUGUCAUUCAGUAGCGAAGAAACCAUCGCCUGCAAUCUCUGAAAACGAGAAGUCCAUGGAUACAUUUGUGUUUCCGGCUUCCGUUUAAGGUCAUGGAAAUUGCAUGUGUGGGUGGACCAUUUCCUUGCCCUUAUUCUUUUUAAGUUUGAUUAUCUUUGUUCCUACAUCCUGUAGAUGACCUUACAUCUGCCUUGAAUUUUUUGAAAUAUGAAAAGGUACCUAUCUGGGACUGAAGCAUGAUCAACAAAUGAAUUAGUGUCAUCAUUUACAUCUGUCAGUAAUCGUCAGGACUAAACCAAUGGAGAUGGCAUGAAUUAGUCUUGUCCUAACUCAUAUCUACACUAUUCAGUGCUCGCAUAUGUCAAAUCGUACCCGUCCACCAAACUGCAUGUAUAUUUUGGCAGCAAAACAGUCUAGAAACAACUGUGGAUUCAAAAAUUGAUUCUGCAGAGCUACAAAAUUCAGACCAGUUUGUUGCUUUGAGACCCGAGCUGCAAGUCAUGGCAGCAUGACACUGACACCGUUUGGCCCGCUGUGGAGCAUAACAUAAAACAGCAGGAAAUUGCUGUGUUUAGUGAUGCAAUCCUGUGUGAUGUGUUUAGUGAUGCAAUUCUGUGUGCUGUUGUCUAGCUGUUAGUUUGAACCCGCUAGCCUUGUAGGCGUUUUUUGUUGCUUGAUAAUUUUGGGGUGAGGAGAUGAACAGUUGUCGAAACAUUCUCCCCCCCUGCUGUCUUUCCAGGUUCUGAACACUGUUUUUUGGUGGAUUUGGUGGUUCACGUUGGAGCGUCGCCGCCAUAGAUGUGCAGCACGACACAGGUGAGUCCUGCCCCCUAUUUCUCUCCAUUCUCUUUGUAUCAUGUGUUCUAGGUGCUCGUUUGUCUGAUGCUAGGGAGUUGGAGAUGGGUGUUCGAGUGGUUAAUUUGGGGGUGGAUCUGGAAACUAAGCACACCUACAGACUGCAGUAGGUAGAGAUAAUGCAUGACUCUGCAGCGGUGACCACUUCUACAUGCCUUAAAGCAUGUUAAAUUACUCAUAAGAAGGAUGCAAAAAAACCCUAGAUACAUUACUUCCCAAAAGGACCAAGCACAUUUAACUUGAUGAGUUUUUUCCUUUGGACUUUUUUACCUGGAUUUCAGUCUCACUGUGCCGAAUGUAGACUAUGAACCUGCCGCAUAAUCUGUGUAUAUGAUGAAGGUUGUGCUUGAAUCAGCUCUCAAAAAUUUGUUCAUCAUGGUCCUGAGGGGGGCAGAACAAAUAUUAUGUGUAACAAACUUUAGUUCUUCACCAUGCAAAUUGUUAGUCCUUUUUAUUGCAGACGAGUACGGUACCUGAGCAUAAUGCUGGUUUUGUUUCUAGGCUGUAAUGGUGGCAUGAUCUGUAUAAUUACUUGUUCACACCACGGGCUUACAUCUUUACAUGCUUCCAGAUAUCGAAAUUACACAUGACAAGGGUAAUAUAUAAAGAAAACCCUAUAGCAUGUUGUUUAAAAUGUACAUGGGAUAAACUAGUUACAUGUCAUACAGAGCUAAUGAACAGAUUGAUUCCUGUGCCAAAACCUGGAGUCUCCAUUGCUAGAACGAAUGCAUUACAUACAUGAUGGAUUUUCUCUGUUUCUUAAACAUGAUUCAUCUGUUCUUAUCAUUUUACAGUUAUCUGAAAGGACACUCAUAGUACACUGGAGCCAUGAGUGAGUAAUUCUUGUCAACCAUCUUCAUCCCAGACGCAGUAUCCUUUAUGUUUUUUUCUGGAGCAGACAGAAAAGCAAGGAAGAAAAUAUAAACCGGUUUGCUAUUCCAGUGCAUCAUCAACAGCGUCCCCAGCCAUCUGCCGCAGGUUGAAUUACCGCAGACAAAAAACAAUGCAAAUUCGUGUCGCAAAAUACUCGCCCCUUGCAGCAAUUUAUCACUCAUACAGUACCCAGUAAUGCGGCAUGUGCGUUUUCUGUUUGGCUUUAUUUAUACACACGCAUUAGAAACAUAAAUUAGUUCACCGAAAAAUUACACCCUGUCGACGUUGUCGAAAACGGGCGAAAUCCAUUUUGCUUGAACCAAAGGGAGCAGUAACAUACUGGUGGUGUAUAAACAAGAGAUUGAACAGAAAGAAUGCACUGUCGAUGUCGAAAAAAGAAAAAAAGAGUGAAACCAGUGUCGCUGUCCAUUGGCACGUAUGUAUGUAUACAGUGGGUACAGUACAAAUUACAAUAGACAAAAAGUCUUCUUGUUUGGCUACAACAAUAGACAAAAUGGCACUGCCACGUAAGCUGAGAAAAUAAUUUCCGCUCGACUAAAAUCCAAAUUCCGCUUCCCAUUUUUUUAUGGAGUAUUUAUUUAUUUAUAGAUUUAAAAAGAAUUCUGGCUUUCCAGAGCUCCAACAGGGAAGAAAGAAGAAGAAUAGAAUAGGGCCGCAGCCAAAAGCCAACCCUCCUUCCUUCCUCUCUUCUUCUUCUCUUCCUCCUGCGGCUGCGGCGACCCCCAUCGCCAUCUCCAACUCCGCGGCCGAACCCUAGGCCUGGCUAGGCUACUCUCCAUUCCGCUGCGCCUCCGCCUGCACCGCCAUGUCCGCCGCUCACCUCCUCCGCCACUCCCGCAAGGUCCGUCCCUUUCUCUCUCUCUCUCGUUCGAUCGAUCUGCUGUUCCCGUAGGGGUGCGAAUAUCGCGCCCACGCCUGGCCUGGUCCGGUCCGUCGUCCGUGCCCACGGCUGCAGCAGCUGGAGGUUUCCGCUCGUAAUCCGGUGCCGCAAUGCCGGAACCCCCCUCCCCUCGUCGGGUGGGUUUCUUCGUCGGGCAUGGGUGGUGGGUGGGUAGUAGUAGUAGGUUAGGGCGCGGUGGCCGACGUGCUCCUCCGUUUGCGUGGCGGGUGGGGCGUGGUUCCGAUCGGGUGGGAUGAGAUCCAACGCCCUGGACAGUAGCCAUGUGACACAAGUCGGAUGGAUUGGAGUGGGGUUUGGUAUUUUUUUUUGUUUUCUAGACGUGGGAUCAGACGGAGGAGGGUUCAUUUUCAGACCUUGGAAUCCAAUUGCGUGACUCUGGCCGGCUGUCUGACUUUUUUUGCUUCUGCAGCUGCGGAGCUUGCGGAACGUUGUGGACUGCGAGCGCGCUGGCCUCGCGCGGUUCUUCUCUACCGGUUCUUGCUCCUUUGCGGUGAAGGAAAAUGGUAUGCUAGGCUCCUCCCACUCUAUCUAUCGUGCCAUUUUGUGCUACAUUUUUUUUGUCAGUUAAGUUGGACCUGGACAUGCCCUUUCAAAUGACUUGUUACUUGUAAUUUUAUAUCAAGGCAUCAUUUGUCAUGUAUCUGGUUUCUUCAGGUGUUGAGAAAAGAAUCGGGGGCUCUACAUUUUCUCAGUGCGAUCAACCUGGGAAAGAUCUUCAGACCUUCAAGGUUAGUGCUUGCAAAGAUUGCUCCAUGAUUGAAAUUCCUAGUAUCUUGUCCUGAUUUUCCUAUUUCUUGUUCUAUUUUUCCAGGUGUCACUAGGAGGAGUGAUCAGAAGCUCUACGUGCAGAAGAACACCCAGCAGCCGUAUCUCAAGUGCUGUCACUGGGAUUAAUGGUUCACUGUCUCGGUAUAGUGCUUUCCCCCUGAUAUGCCAGUGCUACCUUAUGUUGUUCUGUGUGAAUGUACCAAAGGAUAGCCACUUUAACGAGGGAAAUGUGAACUGGCACUAUUUGACAACCGAAUCCCUUCUCAGUAGAAAAAACGGCUGCACUGUCCAAAGCACCACUGAGACGGUCCUUUAUACUUUGCUAUUUGUCAGUAAUAAUAGGCGUACAUGUCAAUCUACUAUGCUCAGCUCUACAACAGAAUAUAAUCCUAUCAGGAAUGUUCCAUGGCUGUACUGUUUCUUAUAAGUUACAACUUGCAAGGAUAACACUCUAAAAGUGUUUUUUUGUCUUCUAUCAGUGUGCAGGUACUAUCAUCAAGGUCUUUCUCAAGUAGUGCAGGUAUUCCUUCUCUUGGAUGUUCAUAUUUCCUUGAAGCAUAGAGUUUUUUUGGAUAACUAAAAAAAUCCAGAAUAGUGUAGAAUAGCUCAGCCCUUUUUUGGCCACCAUUAUGCAAGACUGAUUCCUUCCAAACAUAGCUGGUUGAUAGCAGAUUACAAUACGAGUUACCACUAUUGCAGUUGGUUACAUACAACAUCAUCUGCUUGCAUUCUUGAUAUCUUGUUUCUUUUUUUGAAUAUUUAUUUGAUCCAUCUACCAAUGUUUUCAUGCAUGUACCACUACCUGUUAAGCUGCAUUAACUUUCUCAUAACAAAAUAGUUGAUCUUUGUCCACUUAGGUUUCUAGGAUGAAUUUUCAUGGUGAUUCUGCUUUGUGCUACGCCUACACCUAAGCAUUCCAUUUUUUUGUUGCUACAAAAGUUUUAGUUUCUUGAAUCCUGUGCCCCACAUGCCCACCCUUGGUUGGUUCCUGUAUCAAAAAUUUCUAGAGAUCUCCAAACAGUAUAUCUCAAGCAAGGUCCCAUAUCAGCUGUCUUACAUACUGCGCUUGUUCCAGACUUGCCACCACAUCAGGAAAUCGGGAUGCCAUCACUGUCUCCUACAAUGACUGAGGUAUUUGUUACCUAUAGUUAUUAGUCAUGCAUAAAAUAAUGUCUGGAUUGAAAUCAGACUUGCAGUUAGUCUCUAGUCCUUAAACCACAAAUACUAGAGUCUGUAGAUGAAACUUGUAUUGUCUGCAGGGAAACAUUGCCAAGUGGGUGAAGAAGGAAGGGGACAAAGUCUCACCUGGUGAAGUUCUCUGUGAGGUGGAAACGGUAAGAUAUUUCAUCUGUAAUGUUACCCUACAUAUUUUUCGUUAGUAUUUUCUUGCAGUUGAGCUGCAGCAGAAGCUAAAGAACAUUUGGAUGCAUUUUAUCUGAUUAGGAUAAAGCCACGGUAGAGAUGGAGUGCAUGGAAGAGGGCUAUCUUGCUAAGAUUGUUCAGGGAGAUGGUGCCAAAGAGAUUAAAGUUGGGGAGGUAUGUAUUUACUGUCAAAAGAACAUAUGAUUGUUUACCCAUUAUUUGAUGCUUGUUUGUUUUCCUGACAUCACCUUGUGUUAUUUGGCCUAUGCUACCCCUUAGAUCAUCUGUGUGACUGUGGAAGAAGAGGGUGACAUUGAGAAGUUUAAAGACUACAAACCUUCGACAUCUUCAGAUGCGCCUGUAGCUCCUGCCGAGUCAAAGCCCAAGUCUGAACCUGCAGAGCCAAAGGUGGAGGAGAAAGAGCCUGCCAAGGCUCCUGAGCCUAAGGCCCUGAAGACCGCAGAACCUCAGCGAUCUGGCGAUCGAAUAUUCUCCAGCCCUCUUGCGAGAAAAUUAGCAGAAGAUACCAAUGUAAGUCUUUAUUUGAGUUAGUCUAGAUAGUGUUUACUGGCAGUGUAGUCAAUGAAUGCAUGGACAUGUUUCCUCAAACAGGUCCCACUGUCGAGUGUAAAAGGCACUGGUCCUGAUGGUCGUAUUCUGAAGGCAGACAUUGAAGAUUAUUUGGGUAUGCAAUUCUACAUAAUAACCGUUUUUUCUACCUGCAUUCUCGCUAGAUCCAAGUAAAAAAGUAAUUACUGCAGUGCACUUGAGCCUGCCGAGUUAAGUGAAUAGUAUAGCUAGUUUUGGCAUGCAUGAUUUGGUGCUUAUGCUAUUAUUCUAUUUUGGUCAAUCAAAAGGACUCUAACCAGUGUCUAAUGUUUUUCUUUUGCUUAAUAAAGCUUCAGUUGCCAAGGGUGGCAAGAGUGAGUCUUUUGCAGCUUCAGGAUUAGAUUACACAGAUAUUCCAAAUGCACAGAUAAGAAAGGUAAAUUUUGACACCCUGUAUCCUGCAAGACUAGUUUUGGUUGAUGGCAUUUGCUUUGUACUGUUUUAACUCUUGAUCUCUCCAGGUUACCGCAAACCGCCUGUUAACCUCUAAACAAACCAUCCCGCAUUACUACUUGACAGUUGACACAUGCGUCGACAAACUUAUCAAGUAUGUUUCAGGCCUGGUUUUUUUAACACAGUAUGGAUUACUUCAAAACUUUCUGCUAAAGAAGAGUUCUUCAUUUCACUCUGGUCCAGGUUGCGAGGGGAAUUGAAUCCGUUGCAGGAUGCUUCUGGCGGAAAGAAGAUAUCUAUCAAUGACCUUGUUAUAAAGGUAACUGCUAGUUUCGUAUACGUACCAUUGUUUUUCAUGCCCUUUUGUACCCCAUCCCUCCCUCCUCAAGUUCAUGUGGUAUUCCUCUGGAAUCUCUGUGAUCUCCAGUUUGUAAUUUACCUUUAUGUGAUUUUGUAGGCUGCAGCUUUAGCUCUUCGAAAGGUUCCCCAGUGUAACAGUUCUUGGAUGAAUGAUUUUAUUCGCCAGUAAGUUCGUACAGAGCGUUUAUACUGAUCACUUCAAUUCUAUUGGCAAGAAAUGUGAUACAACAAGUUUAUUUCUCAUGCAGAUACAACAACGUAAACAUAAAUGUAGCUGUACAAACUGAGCAUGGAUUGUUUGUUCCAGUAAUUAAGGUAAGUUAGCCUAAACUAGCCCAAUUUGAGUAAUCUUUUCCUGUUCUAUAACUUGUUACUUAUACUGCAGGAUGCAGACAAGAAGGGACUUGGUACAAUUGCUGAGGAGGUGAAGCAGUUGGCUCAAAGAGCAAGGGAUAACAGCUUAAAACCAGCCGAUUAUGAGGUAUGUAUUCCAUAUUAGCUCGUAAGAAUGAAAUGGACAUCAUUUGUCCUUGAACGCUUUUUUUUAUGUUUUCAGGGUGGCACGUUUACAGUGUCAAACUUGGGAGGUCCUUUUGGAAUUAAACAAUUCUGUGCCAUCAUAAAUCCUCCCCAGUCAGCAAUCUUGGCCAUUGGUUCUGGUAAAACUCAUCUUACCCUUCCUUAUGUCGCCACUAGUAAUAUGUUGGUCCUUCGCUUGCAUUAUUUAAAAGUAACAGUAGCUCUUCUGAAUUUAUGUCAUCAAUCUGGUAUUGCACUUUGCUAUGGGAGAUGCAGUGCACCGAUUUCAUGAUCUUUACUUUGCACUCUGUAUCCUAAUCUGUGCUUGGAUAGCUCAAUUAGUUUGUUAACAUGACUUGGAGAUAGAAUAUAAGGUGUAGUAGUCCCUUUUAUUUCUGUAUUAUACUUUGAUGGAAAGGUUGGUCUAGCUUCUUCCAGGAUUAUCGUGGCAUCCUUUUUUAACAGGGUUUGUGAUGUCUCUUCGCAGGGAUUCGUUGUUUACUUAAUUGAGUUUUCUUUUUCUUCUGAGCAGCCGAGAAGAGGGUGAUACCAGGCGGUGCCGAUGGUCAGUACGAGUUUGGUUCCUUCAUGUCAGUAACAAUGAGCUGUGACCACAGGGUUAUUGAUGGUAAUGCUUAUCCGAACAAAAGAUGUCGACUCCAUGGAUUGAACAUGGGCGAAGAACUACUAACAUUCUGUUGACAAAUAAUUCUCUGUAGGUGCAAUCGGUGCGGAAUUUCUGAAAGCCUUCAAGGGCUACGUCGAGAACCCAACCACAAUGUUGCUGUAAAGUCAUGGAGGAUGGAACCUAUUCUUGUCAAGUUGUUGAAUAAUGCAUAGAACCGGGUGCUGUCUCGUUUUACAUAACCUCGGCACGGUCUCAGUGGGACCUGGAACGAACCAAGAGCACAGAGCCAACACACUGCAGGAUGAUGACCUGAUUUUUGGAUCGAAACCUUUUCUGUUCGUUCGUUUUACGUUUUGUUUCUUCUGAAAGUUAGGCCGCAAGCAAAGUAGGUUUGACUUGAAUGCCUUGUUGAUCUCAUUUUUGUGGGUUUUGUGUCCCCAGAGAAACUUGUUGAUUAUAUAGGAUUACAUUUUCUAUAUACGCAAACUUAACCCAGAGGCCCCAGAAAAUGGUCAGAAUAAAUAACCCAUCUUGGAUAUUUGAUUUCCCACGUUGUCGGUUUGAUAUUCCAAGCUCUGUACUUGUCCUUGGAUGGAUCAAACCAACAGUUAAAUGCCUGGAAUAAAGAAAAAAUAAUGGAAGAAUGUGCAUUUUCGGUUCUCAGUUCUCAGAUCCUAUUCGCGCAGAGCAAGCAGGAAUGACACUGCAGAAGUAACGAGCAUGCAUGCAGCUAGAUGGAAUAAAGUUACUUCCUUCCGGCCGAAUUACCUGUCGAAAUAUUAUAUAGACGCUUUUGAAGCACUAAUACAACCAUAUUUAUGUAAAUUUGAGACAAAUAAUAUGAGUCGGAUGGAGUAUUUUAUAUCUUGUGUUUCAAGUUGUAAUUAACCAUUGAGUUUUCGGCAAAAAGAAAAAACAUUGGGCGGAAUGGCUCCUGCGGCCACGAAAAAAAAUAACGAACAUUUUUUAUUUUUGAUGGAAAAAUAAUGAACAGUUAAUUUCGAAAAAUAACAUGAAGUAGUGUUGCAGUUAAGCAUCUCGUCCGGCCCAAGUUGGCCCAAGCUUGGCUCAUCAAUCCUUCCCCAAAUUCGCAUUGCAUUGAGCUCGCAAAAUCGUACACAGCGGCGGCCGCCGGCCAGCCGGAAAUCCGGAACUGUUAUCAAAUCCUCGUCCGAUUCCUUCCAACAAUAUGUCUCCCCCAAUCAAUCUCUUGUUGCCCUCGCGUGGACGGAGGUUGGCAGCAAGCGAGAGAGAUCGAUGGCCGGCGGCGGCCGGAGAGGAGGCGGACGGACGCGCAUCGGCGGCGAUGUAGCAGCCCUUCCUGCGCCGCCGUGAGGGAAGAAGCGCGCGCGCACGGCGGAGGCGCCGGCCAAGUAAGAGCAACUGCGCUGUCUUGGAAGUGUGUGCUCGACCCAAAUGUCUGACCUCCACUGUUCAUGCAUGAGUCUAGGAAAUCAAUUUAUCCACCUUAAUAAGUGAAUGAGUACAACUCAGAUCCGGAUUCCGGAUGCUCUACUUGGGAGUCAUCUUCGAUUCGGCUGGCUUGAAAGACACAAAAGUUGUUCGAUUAGAAGCAAGAUCGGACAUUCGGACAGUGAGCAGGCAGCAUUGCAAUCUUUUAUCUUUAUCUUUGGAUCCUGCAGGUGGCAUGCUACAAGCAGCAAGCAAAGAAUUGAUUUCUUUCUUUAGUGAAAGCAAAAGGUAAUCCUUUCAAUGAAAGAGAAAACAAAAGCAAAGGUAAGGAUCCUGCCUCUUGGUCUUUUUCUACUGAAGGCAUUUGUGCACACAUACAAGCACAUGCCACCCCAAAUACUUCGCCACAGAGUGUAGCAUGUCCCCUUUUUUUGCUCUCCAAUUAGACCUUGUUACAGUUGCACCUGAACGAUCUAUUUGCCUUCUCUCUGGCUACUUGCUCUCGACAUAGUACAAAUUAUUCAACUUAACCAAGGUAUGAAACUAGGUCACCUCGCACCUGCUCUAAAUCUGCCUUCCUGCUUCUCCAGAUUUAUAUAUGCUAACUUUAUUUAUCUCUCCUGUUUGUAUACCAGGAAAUUAAGCAGUAAUCGAUUACUGGUGGAUGGCUUAAUCUGGAUAUUGUUAACGAGCUGACUGAUUGAUCAUAAGCCUGAAAUGGAAUCUAGAGGCUAGAGAUUGACAUAUCUUAGUAACUUAUCAUGCGUACAGAGGUAUCUUGACACUUGACAAUUACCUUUCAUUCCAUUGUAUAUAUAUGCAUCAAUUGUAGUAAAUUAUUGAGUAUUCCUGUAUACGUGUCAUUACUGACAUUACUUUGUUUUCAUCAUGUAUAUCUUAUUACAUACUACUAUGCAUGCUCAAACAAUCAAGUUAAAAAGAAUGCUCAAUUGGUCAUGCAUGAGAAUAUUACCAAUAGUCCAAUACCAUGAGAAUGGUACCAAUGGUCGAUAGUUCGGACUUUGAGCUAAUACUCACUUCACUGCCUUACACACAUGCAGGUUAUCAGUGCAGACACCAUUGAUGAGUCCGUCGAAAAAAUUCUCGUUGAACUUGGGGCAGACAGUACAAGCAACAGGGAGAAUGCCAUCUACUUUGAUGGCUGGGAUGGGCUUGGGGCGUCUGCCGUCCUGCAAGCCAUAGCCGAACGCCUCACAAUAUCAAAUGAGCUGUCAACAAGGCCCACGGGGCUGGAGUUUGAGAAAAUCAUCCACAUCGACUGCUCAAAGUGGGAGAGCAGAAGAGCCAUGCAGAGGGAAAUUGCAGUGCAGCUGAAGCUUCCCAAUUGGGUGAUGGAGAUGUUUGACAAACAAGAUGCGGAGGAUGAUUUCAAUGGGCUAGACCAGGGCUCCCGCGGUGAGAUAGCACAAGUUGUCACAGAGAUCUACCAUACCAUACAGAAUUGCAGAUUCCUAGUGAUCCUGCACAAUGGAAGCAAUGAGGAGAUUGAUUUAUUCGAUUUUGGUCCCUCUCUAUAUGGAUAUGCGAAUAGCAAGAUGCUGUGGACAUUCCAAGGGAGGUUUCGGCUUGACCCUAAGAGGACAGAUAUCGUGAAGAAGGGCAGAACAACAUAUGUUCUCCUUUCAGCUUCAAGACGUUGGCGAGAUCCACAGGAGCUUUGGUCAUAUCUAGUGCAUCAUGAGGCAGCACAAGUUUCCUGCAAUAAGCAUGGCCGUCACAUCAUCGAUCCGGCUAUAGCCGCUGAGUGUGUCUUGUAUAUGCUGAAACAGUGCUCCAUCGGCUCUCAAACUGUUGACUACGACUGGGCUAUCCACACCAGUAACUACUGGGUCUGCGAGGGGAUCAUCGCACUGACAAGCAUUGACAAAGCAUGGCAAGUUGGAGAUUUUCUGCAGCACGGGUUGCAGUUGUUGGACGUUAACAACCAGCUUAGUAACGAUGAGUCAAUAAUAAUGCCUUCGUUUCACCUGGCAAGGUCUACCGAGCGCAUGCCGUACUGGAUUUCCACAACUUGUGGAUUUGUGCUGAGCCCCUCUGGUGCUAUCCCCGACAGCAUGUUUCAGUACUCGCACAGGCUUGGCGUGCUCACGCUCUCAAAGUGUACCUUCAGUUUCUCAUCGCCUCCAUUCCUCUGUUGCCAGAGUCUGAGAUUCUUGUGGCUUGAUCGCUGCCAAGACCUCCUAACAAGAAGCAGCACCACUGAUCAUCACCAGCCAGAUGCAAACAAGGAGGAGGAGUUGGGCAAAAGCAGCACGACAUCAUGGGAGUGCUUCCAUAGCUUGUGGGUGCUUGAUCUGCGCUACACAGAUUGGGAUCAGAUCCUGUCAGCACAGGUGAUGGAUUUCAUGACCCAGGUCAGGGAGCUAAACGUGAUGGGAGCCAAGAACUGGGACAUGAGCCAUUUACGGGGACGGCUGCGUAACAUUCGCAAGCUCCGGGUAACAAAGUCCACCUGCUGCUUCACCAACAACGUGUUCUCUGAGAUGGAUGGCUUGGAGCUUCUUGAUUUUUCGGGAAAUACUAUCAGCCAAGGCAUGACAAGCUUAUCUGGGUCAACAAGCAACAGUAGCCUUGAGACUGUCAUUAUUGAUGGGUUCAAUGGGUUAAAAAUUAUCUCUUUGAGGGGCUGCAAAGUACUGAGGAACCUGUUGUUCAAAGGAUUGUUUGAGAGUCUUGUGGAGCUGGACCUCUCAGGCACAAAAGUCAAAACCCUCAACCUCAGAGAAGUGAGAGCCAGCUCACUCCCCAAGCGGAUCAUGCUGCUUGGUUGCGAGAAGCUAUGUGCAAUAUAGCCAAGAAUUGGCACAUGAGUCACUUACGGGGACGACUGCGUAACAUUUGCAAGCUCCGGGUAAGAAAGUCAACCUGCUGCUUCAACAACAACGUGUUCUCAGAGAUGGAAAGCUUGGAGCUUCUUGAUUUCUCGGGAAAUACCAUCAGCCAAGGCAUGACAAGCUUAUCUGGGGCAGCAAGCAACGUUCGUCUAGAGACUGCCAUCAUUGAUGGAUAUGAUGGGUUAAAAGUGAUCUCUUUUAGGGGCUGCAAAGAAUUGAGUAACAUGUUCUUCAAAGGAUUGUUUGAGAGUCUCGAGGAGCUAGACCUCUCUGGCACAAAAAUAAAAACCAUCAACCUCAGAGAAUUGGAAGUCGGCAAACUCCCCCGGAUCAUCCUGCUUGGCUGCGAGAAGCUAUGUGCAAUAUUGUGGCCCGAUAUGGUAGAAAGGCUAGGAUGUCGUGGUUUGCUACGUAUAGACACUACCUCCUCAACAUCAGCUGACGGAGGGGAAGCACCACAUUUUACAUCCUGCCGGAGGGCAAGGAAAAUUUGAGCAUGGAUGGCAGAUUUCUCUUGCAGAUACAAGGCUCCUUAGGUCACUUUCUCCUGUAGCAAGUUACUUAAAAAAGGCAUCAGUACAUAUUGAUAUCAGUUCUGCAGCCGCUGUUGGUGGUAGCAAUGUCCAAGGAACAAGCAGCGACAAACUAGUGCAAGUCCAACCACAUACAAGCACCAUAAUGGACUCCAAGUACAGAGAUGUCUUGAAGCAUGACCCUGUUGCAGCAACGAUGAUGUGGGACAUGCCCCGAGAUAUAUGCGUGGUCAGCCGAGAAGAAAUGUAUCAUAAAGGUGGUCAUGCAUUUCGGGCAGGGCAACAAACUGUUGGGGGAUACUCCAACUGCUAGUAUUAGUGCUUUACUGUUGCCUGAUUUAAUAUGUGACCUUGCUACAUCACUGCAUGUGUACAAUAACUCUUCCAUCACCAGUAUCCUUGUACCACCCCAUAGAUCAUCAGGAUGGAAAUUGCUAGGUUGGUGCCGGGUGGAGAGGUGCCCCGAGUUACACAACAGUCUUCACUAUUCCUCAGGGCAGUCGACGUCGUGUGUAUGUGUACGGUUUUUAUUCUCUGCAGACAUUCUGGGCCUCCCAGCUCCUGACGGCCUGCUACAUCUGGGACUGGACAAUUUUUCCGACAUUUCAUGCCUUUCCACACCUCAAGUUCUUGCACCUGGACUACUGCCCGAGGCUCAUACAUGUGCUCCCCAUACAUAAAAGCCCCUUGUCUGGACUAGAGACUCUUGAGAUAGUGUACUGCAGUGAUCUCAGGGAGGUAUUCCCAUUGAGCCCUGAGCUUCAAGAUCAGGAUAAAAUUAUAAAAUUCCCUGAGCUAAGGCACAUCCACCUGCACGAGCUCCCCACGCUGCAGCGCAUCUGUGGGCGCAGGAUGUGGGUGCCUAAACUCGAGACCAUCAAGAUCAGGGGCUGCUGGAGCCUCAGGUGUCUGCCGGCCAUCGGACGUGACACCGAGCCGCCCAAGGUGGACUGCGAGAAGGAACGGUGGGACAACCUGGAGUGGGACGGGAUGGAGCAGUACCACCACCCUUUCCUCUACAAGCGGAGGCACUCAAACCACUACAAGGCAAAGCUACCCAGAGGCAGCGUACUCAGGUGAAAUAUACCUCCUUAUCUCCCUACUCUGCAAAUAAACUUACUUUUUAUGCUGAACCAAGUCAUUACUUCUUUUUUUCUAGAUCAAAACCCAACAUAAUACUGUAUGCAUAAAUGAUGAAGAUGGUGACUUUGUGUGUGAUUUUUUUGGGUCUGCUCUAGUCGGAAUGAUUAUUUGAUAAAUUUUAGAUGAAAGUAUUCACAACAGAUGACCAUGUUUGCUCCAAGGAACUGCUCCUGCAGAUUCCGGAGAGAAUUCAUCUUGUUUCGUUUGGACAAGGGAUGCUGUUUCGUUCCAUGUUAGUUUUAAACUUAUGUGUGUUAUUGUCACUAGUUUGGCCUUCAUGUGCAUCCUGACUAGCAUUUCCUUUGCCCAGAUGUAUGAGGUCCAUGCAAGCAAUAAAUUAUUGCCACUCUGUUGAUGUAUUUUGUAUUGUUUUGGGGUAUUUGGGUUGCUAUGUAAGUAGUGUAACCUCAGUCAUCUGGGCUACUAGACAAAGAAAACAGGUAGCACCUUUUCUCUGUAGUGAGAAUCAGGGUUGCCUUUGCGCAACAACAAAAAAGAAGAAGCAGGGCUGCCAUUCAUUCGAUUUUUUUGCCGAUCAUUUCUCUAUUUAAGGAGGAUUAUGCUACAGCUUGAAAUUUAACAAGGUGACAUGAGAUGGAAAAUUUAUUGUUCAAUUGACUAGUUUUUUUUUGAGAGAGAGAACUUCAAUUGACUAGUUGACUACGAAAAGAAAAUGGUGAGACAAAAAAGAGAGAGGCGUUGUUGCUCCCCAGGCCCAGUGGUUGCUCAGUGCAUAUGGGCCUCGAAUACCGCUCGGUUCUGAAGAAAGGCCUUUCAGGACGGUCCUGCGGCCCAUGGGCCUCAACCUGACGGUAUGGGCCCAUCUUGAUUUACUACUUACUCCCAAAGCCCAAAGCCCGCCCGCUUCGUUUCCCUCCCCCGCCUCCCGCAAUGGGCAGCCGCCAGCUCUGCGACCAGUACGCCACCCACCUGGCCGCCGCGGCGCACGCCGGCGGCCGGCACGGGGCGCUGCUCCCGCACGCGCGCCGCGUGUUCGACGCGACGCCUGAACGGAACCUCGUCACGGGCAACUCCCUCCUCUCGGCGCUCGCCCGCGCGAGGGGACACGUCCGGGACAUGGAGCGCCUCUUCGCGUCGCUGCCGCGGCGGGACGCCGUCUCCUACAACGCGCUCCUGGCGGGGCUCGCCCGCGCCGGCGCACACGCCCGGGCCGCCGGGGCGUACCGCGCGCUGCUGCGGGACGAAGACGGGGUCAGGCCCAGCCGCAUCACGAUGUUGGGGCUGGUCAUGGACGCGUCGGCGCUCGGCGACCGCGCGCUCGGCCGGCAGGCGCAUGGCCAGAUCCUGCGGCUCGGGUUCGCGGCCUACGCCUUCACGGGGAGCCCGCUCGUCGGCAUGUACGCCAAGGCGGGCCUCGUCGGGGACGCCAGGCGGGUGUUUGAUGAGAUGGAGGGGAAUAACGUGGUGACGUGCAACACCAUGGUCACGGGGCUGCUCCGUGCAUGAUGGUCGCGGAGGCGAGGGCGUUGUUCGAGGCGAUCGAGGAAACGGAUUCGAUCACUUGGACCAUUUCUUGUCAUGUCAUCCUCUUCACUAUUCUUUAUACAUGUUUCAGCUUACUGAGCUUACCCUGUAAUUUUAUAUCAAGGCGUCAUUUGUCAUAUAUCUGGUUUCUUCAGGUGUUGAGAAAAGAAUCGCGGGCACUAGACUUUCUCAGUACAAUCAACCUGGGAAAGAUAAUCAGACCUUCAAGGUUAGUGCUUGCAAAGAUUGCUCCAUGAUUAAAAUUCCUAGUAUCUUGUCCUGAUUUUCUUAUUUCUUGUCCUAUUUUUCCAGGUGUCACUAGGAGGAGUAAUCAGAAGCUCUACUUGCAGAAGAACACCCAGCACUAGCAGCGGUAUCCCAAGUGCUGUCACUGGGAUCAAUGGUUCACUGUCUCGGUAUAGUGCUUUCCCCCUGAUAUGCCAGUGCUAUCUUAUGUUUCUCUGUGUGAACGUACCAAAGGAUAACCACUUUAAUGAGGGGAAUGUGAAAUGGCAAUAUUUAACAACUGAAUCCCUUCUCAGUAGAAAAAACCCGCUGCAUUGUUCAAACUGCCACUGAGCCGGUCCUUUAUACUUUGCUAUUUUUCAGUAAUAAUAUGCGUACAUGUCAAUCUACUAUGCUCAGCUCUGCAACAGAAUAUAAUCCUAUCAGGAAUGUUCAAUGGCUGUACUGUUUCUUACCAGUUACAACUUACAAGGAUAACACUCUGAAACUGUUUUAUUUUGUCUUCUUUCAGUGUGCAGGUACUAUCAUCAAGGUCUUUCUCAAGUAGUGCAGGUAUUCCUUCUCUUGGAUGUUCAUAUUUGCCCUUGAAGAUAGAAUUUGAUUGGAUAACUAGAAAAAACCAGAAUAGUGUAGAAUAGCUCAGCCCUUUUUUUGGCAACUAGUAUGCAAGACUGAUUCAUUCCAAACAUAGCUUGUUGAUAGCAGAUUACAAUACGAGAUAACUUCACUUAUUUCCGGACGGAAGGAGUACCAUUAUUGCAGUUGCAGUUGGUUACAUACAACAUCAUCUGCUUGCAUUCUUGAUAUCUUGUUUGAUCCAUCUAUCCAAUAUUUUCAUGCAUGUACCACUACCUUUUAAGCUGCAUUAACUCAUUCUCAUAACAAAAUAGUAGAUCGUUGUCCACCUAGGUCUCUAGGAUGAAUUUACAGGGUGAUUCUCCUUUGUGCUACGCCUAAGCAUUCCAUUUCUUUGUUGCUACAAAAGUCUUAGUGUCUUGAAUCCUGUGCCCCACAUGCCGAACAUUGUUUCCUGUAUCAAAAUUUUCUAGAGAACUCCAAACAGUAUAUCUCAAGCAAGGUCCCAUAUCAGCUGUCUUAACAUACUGCGGUUGUUCCAGACUUGCCACCACAUCAGGAAAUCGGGAUGCCAUCACUGUCUCCUACAAUGACUGAGGUAUUUGUUACCCAUAGUUAUUAGUAAUGCAUAAAAUAAUGUCUGGAUUGAAAUCAGACUUGCAGUUAGUCUCUAGCCCUUAAACUACAAAUACUAGUCUUUAGAUGAAACUUGUAUUGUCUGCAGGGAAACAUUGCCAAGUGGGUGAAGAAGGAAGGGGACAAAGUCUCACCUGGUGAAGUUCUCUGCAAGGUGGAAACACAACUGCUUUCACUUAUCUUUGAAUUCUUCCCUUUGGUCAGAUACUUAUCUCAACUAUUUACUUGAUCGAAAUAUUUCGUAUUAUGGUGAUUGAGACUACCCGCUGGGAUUGCCUCGUGAUCCACUUCUCUGAUAACCUCUACUCGAUCUCAUGAAAAUGAGUGUUUCGAGGAAUGUUCUCGGGUUUGACAAACCCCAUCAGACAGUAUGUCAAGGCAUGUCACCAUUUAACAGUUCAAAGUGAAACUAAUCGAGAUCUGGAAUUGGCUUGAUACUUAUAAGAGUUGUUCCCCUACUUGAUUCUAGCUUGUCACCCCAGGAGGUAAUGGAAAAAGUAUAGCCAAACUAUACUACAAGUCUGUCUGAUUUUAUUUUAAAGGAGUUUAUGAACAAUCACCACAUCCAUAUUGAGGAGAAAGCUCACUCAGGCUACUGAACUUGUAAAUACAGUUGCGCUCAUGAUAGGGAUUCCGUUUAUGGCGUGAGGUGAAGUUAGAAGCAUACCUGGAUAUAUACUCAUAGCGGCUUCCAUACCUAUCUCCGGUGGAACUAACAAAAUAGAAACCUAUGAAGGUAAGAUUUUUCAUCUGUAAUGUUACCCUACAUAUUUUUCGUUACUAUUUUCUUGCAGUUGAGCUGCAGCAGAAGCUAAAGAACAUUUGGAUGCAUUUCAUCUGAUUAGGAUAAAGCCACGGUAGAGAUGGAGUGCAUGGAAGAGGGCUAUCUUGCUAAGAUUGUUCAGGGAGAUGGUGCCAAAGAGAUUAAAGUUGGCGAGGUAUGUAUUUACUGUCAAAAGAACAUAUGAUUGUUUACCCAUUAUUUUAUAUUGAUGCUUGUACGUUUUCCUGACAUCACCUUGGUUGUGUUAUUUGGCCUAUGCUACCCCUUGGAUCAUCUGUGUGACUGUGGAAGAAGAGGGUGGCAUCGAGAAGUUUAAAAACUACAAACCUUCAACAUCUUCAGAUGCGCCUGUAGCUUCUGCUGAGUCGAUGCCUAAGUCUGAACCUGCAGAGCCAAAGGUGGAGGAGAAAGUGCCUGCCAAGGCUCCUGAGCCUAAGGCCCCGAAGACCGUAGAACCUCCGCGAUCUGGCGAUCGAAUAUUCUCCAGCCCUCUUGCAAGAAAAUUAGCAGAAGAUAACAAUGCAAGUCUUUAUUUGAGUUUGUCUAGAUAGAUGGGCAGUGUAGUCAAUGAAUGCAUGGACGUGUUUCCUCAAACAGGUCCCAGUGUCUAGUGUAAAAGGCACUGGUCCUGAUGGUCGUAUUCUAAGGCAGACAUUGAAGAUUAUUUGGGUAUGCAAUUUUCUCCUCUAAUUGUAUCCCUGAUAUUGACAUCUUCCGUUGAUGUGGCAGUGGUUCUGGUGGUGUUGUCGUGGGCUCGAAGAUAAAGGCGAACGCCAGUACGCCAAGUCAUCCCCGGCCGCAGCAUUCUCCUCGGGGUCGCCAUUGAGCCUUGCAUGAUGGAGAUUAUUAUACUUAAGUGACAUCAUGGACGCACAAAAUGUAUAGCUUGAGUUGGAUAUGGAUAUAUUCAUGUAGCAUUUGCUUGAAGCUUAGUGCAGAUAAAUCCUGCUACACUUGUAUGCAUCAAGGAAGCUUAUUAGGACCGUGUAUAACCACAAUGCCAGCUAACAAGCCAACCACGCUUAAUAUUUCCACGGCGGAAUAUCAUGCCGUGUCUUCGAUGAGAUUUUAUCAAUCUUAGUCGCGACAGCAUAGAUGCCGUGAUGCCAGCCGACUAGAUCGAAGGGUUCCACAGCUUCACGCUGGCCGCCCUGGCACGCUACACUGCUCCAAUCAUCUUCAAUUUGAGGUGAAAUAUCAUACCACAUCUUAGAAGGAUAUUUUAUCCAUUUAGUCACGACCACUUAAUUAUUCUGGUGCCAGCCGACCAAGUGGAAGGGUUUCACAGCUUCACGCUAGCCGCACUGGUGCGCUGCACUGCUCCCAUAUCUUGAUGUAUCCACAAGAACAAAGCGCUAGAAAACCUUUAGCGGCUUAUUUCAUCGUGGAUGGAGUUAUGCCGGACUGCUAUCGGCGCGCCAAAAAUGUGCUCGAACCGGGAUGCCGUCGGUGGAGCGUUGUUGGUGGAGAUGAAGAGCCGUGAGGUCACCGGCAGUUGUUCAUGACAACAGGUGCAGAGGUGCGCCGAACGAUGAUAGAGCCCGAUGGGCAUGGAAUUGUUGUAUAGGACUGGUGUCAGGACAUCGUCGGCGGUAAUGCAAGUUGGUGUAGACGACCAAGGGGAUGAUGAUGCCCCUAGCAUUGUUGUUGGCGUAAAACUUGGGCGCUGGGAUGCCAUCAGCGACGAUGCGGAACUCCACUGAGGGGUGAUGCUGCCCCAGCGUUGUUGUUGAAGAAGAGGAGUCGGAAUGCCGUCGACAAGGUGGAACUCGACGAAGGGACGGUGCAGCCUUGACGUCAUUGUUGACGAGGAUGUGUCGGAAUGCCAUCGAUGAGGUGGAACUCGGCGGAGGAAUGCUGCUACCCCUAGCAUCGUUGUUGAAGAAGAGGUGUCGGAGUGCCAUCGACGAGUUGAAGGGCUGGGGGGUGGUGCCACAACCUGCGUCCUUGCUGAGGAAGGGGCGUCGGAAUGCCAUCGGCGAUGUGGAAAGCUGAGGGAUGGUGCUGCCCCCAGCGCCGUUGUGGAAGAAGAGGUCGCGAGAUGUCGUAGACAACGGAGGGACGGGAGCUGCUUGGUCCCCCUUGGUGAAGGUUGAUGUAGAUGCUCAACGUCAGCAUGUCGUCGGACGCGUGAUGAAGGAUAGUGUUGUCCCUCAUUGUUGUAGGCGAUGAGGUGACGAGAUGAUGUCGGCCAUGUCGAUGAAGCAUCGAAAAACCAUCAGUAGUGUUGUGGACGCAAGGGUGUUGCUGCCCCCAAUGCCCAUGUAGUAUGUUGGUGUAGAGGAUCGGACGCCAGGAUGUCGUCGGCGAUGAUCUGGACGCAUAGGACUUGCUGCCCCUAGACUCCCUUGAUGCUGGUUGGCACAACCAACAGCAUGCUGAGAAGCCAUCAGAGAUAUCACGACGCUAGGAUUGUCGUCAAACUGAUGCAUCCUCUUGUAGCAGGUGCCACAAGCACGCCAUUCUUAUGACGAUGGCUGCACUAGAGUAAGAGGGAAAAUGCAAGCACAAGCAUGUUGUAUAGUGUAAAAAAAAGAGGUGUUUUUUUAUUGUAUGAAUAUAUGGGCCCUCUCGCUUACCACCUAGCUAUAGAUGUGACGUUAGGAAAGGCUGCCAAAGCACUUCAUCAUCAGGGAUCGCCGAAUGUAUCAUGACGAUAGCCAUAAAAAAACUUUCUCCGGUGCUCGUGUAAAGAGACCAGUGGUGCCUCCAAAGACCACGAGGAUUCAUAAAAUAGACCUUGCAAUACCGAGUAGCCCCACGACUUCAUCAUGCCCCUGCAAUGCCUCAAGAGCCCAAAGACAUAGGUAUAGAGAGAUUGGGGAGAUGGUUACUUAGAACAAUGGCUUGGCGAUUUUCCAUGCCUUUGCUGAGGGGUGGUGAACAACUACCUCCCACCUUCUUUCCGGUGGAUCCCGUACUGCUCAGGGUCAUCGGACUUGCUUCGUCUUGGAAAUUUUGAUCUUUUGAAGACUGCUUGAACUUCAUGGAUUUUUCUCUUCGGGAUGGAUUGCUUGAACUUGGGGGAGUUUCUCCUUUGCAUGAUUACUUGAACUUGAUGUUUCUUCUUUGAGUGAUUGUUUGAACUUCUUGGAUUUUUGCUCUAUGUGAGGAUUGCUUGAACUUCUUGCGGGGAUCUUUCAUGUCUUCUUGGGGGAUCCACCUUGAGAAAUUGGAAGGCAGCCAUCCACCUAUGCGGACUAAAAACACCCUCAUAGGCAUAUUAUGGCUUGUGGUGACACACCUCGGGGGCUUGUGUUGGGCCAGGCAGCCUUCUCAUGCUCUUCUCCUACAGUUUACCCCAAGGUGUGGUGCCUCUUUGAACUUGAGACACCACAAGGAACAUGAUGAGUAUGGAGCCUCGGCGUAAGAAGUAACCCAAUUAAGUCCGCCGCUGUCCCCGGAAGCACACACUGAUGUGUGCAUGUGUUGUGGGCGAAGGUGCCGCUCCAACUUGAGUAUGACGAGUUGGGCUUCCUUUAGACAAGUGCAGAGGCAGCCGAGUCUUCGGUCACUAGCUUGGCAUGAUGCAAGGAGGGCCAUCUCCACUUUAUGCAAAAGGUGAAGUAAUGCAAUGCAUGUCUUGUGGAAGAAAAAAAUAAAAAAAAGGCUAUAUUAACAUAGCUCUUCAUGUAUGUGGAACCUGUCCUUGGUGAAGAUGUCUGCUCAUGUCGCUGCCACCACAUCAGGGCAUCGGCAGGUUGGAGAAGAUGGGGCCAUCGUGUUGGCGUGCUAUUGAGCGAGGUUGAUGAUGACUCUUCGUCGUCAUGUCCUUGAAGCGCGUCAUCCUUCGAUGGCAGCUUCUUCACCAAAGGAGUACGGCAGCUUUCUAUUAGCGGAAGGAGCCCAGUUAGAGUCGCCAUCUUCUCGUGAAGGGCAUGAAGUAGAGUACGCCACCAGCAUCUUGGGCUUCUAGUUGAGGUUGAGGGAGCAUGCAAACGCUUGUAGUAGGCACCCGCUUGCUUCCAGGAAAUGCCCUCAGCGUAUUGGUGCUUGAAGAGGUAGGUGUUGAUGAAGCUCUUGUACGUGCGUAGACGAUGAUCUCCUCAUCACUUAAUGCCCCUUGGAGAGUUGCAACAUGAAGAGCCGCCUCCUUCUUGGGCCCUCGAGAUGAAGCGCGACGCCUUCUUGACUUGGCCGCCAUAGUCCGGCUAGCAAGAAUGAAACAGGAUGAACGAGGCAUAUAAGAAAUGCACUCACGCCACGUCCUACAUGUUGGAGAGGAGCCUGGAGACGAAUCCGACGACCAUUGUUGCGCAUCAAAGAUGGGAGGAGAACCAUGUCCCACCGGGCGUGCCAUUUUGUUUGACACGAAAAAUACUUUUCGGAAUAAAAAUAUUUCUCUUGCGCGCCAGGGGAAAUAAAGAAAUGAGGGCGUGCCAGUGUACUAAGUACACAAAUAAAUAGGGAAGCGUGUAUUUUAUUAAUCUCGACUCGGAGAAACAAAAUCACAUGAUCCCUUUACAUAAGUGCUCCGCGGCCUGCUAGCGCGGCCAAAAUUACUUGGGAGACUGUGUGUCCUUGGUUCACGGGGCCUUGGAAGACUCCCGAUUAAUUACGUCCGUGGAUUAGUCCACGGACCACCUCUGAUUAAGCUGCUGCAAUGGUCGUCGUCUUCAAGUCUCGGUCUUCUCCAUGCAUGGUGUAGAUGAUGAUGGAUGAUGAUGAAGUGGAAGGAAGGGUGGAGCAGCACGCAUGUCGCUCUGGCGAUGCUUAGCCACAUCCCCCCAGCUUGUCGACGUCCGAUGAUGAAGAUGCUUGGCCUCGUCGGCUCAGACGGAUGGGUAGCCUUCGCCUCGUCGGUGCCAGGCCUGGUGGUGUCCGCCUUGUCGGUCGGACAUGAUGCAUUGCCUUCGCCUCGUCGAGGCCCGGCAAUGUGGUGUGUUUGCUUCAUCGGAAGGAGACUUGUCGUUGGGGAUAGCUUCGCCUCGUCAGUGCUUGGGCGAUGUCGAGGAUGAGUAUUGAGGAUGUGGUUGUCAAAGUAGACGUGAGAGUCGCCGUGUGGCGAUGUUCCUUUAUGACGGCGGUGUAGCGUGCUUGUCGAUGUAGACCUCGUAGCGUGGAGGCGCAUGUGAGCUCGUCGGGACUCGGCCGGAUCGGAGUCAUGUACUUGAUCAAGUUGGGGUAGGCUGUUGGUGUAGACGAGUGUCGACGUGUCGAUGUAGUCGAUGUCCUUGCUAGCCGAGGAGCCGGUGAGACCAAACCGCAUGUUGGUGAAGUCGUCGGCGUCCUCGGGAAGUGAGAAGUUGAUGCAGACGAUAAGAGAAUCCCCGCGCCGAGCUUGAUGGCGCGUGCCCCUGGGCUUCAGAUCUUGAAGAGUGGCGACGUAGUCUCCGUCCUCGUGCAGGGCUUGAUGAUUGUGCUUGAUGUGGCGUGUUGCAUGCUAUACAACAAAAACAGGUUAGUCUUUAAUUAAUUACCUUGAUUAUUUUGGAGCGCCCUAUAUGUUCCGGUUGAUGUCGUGCAUGGCUGUUGUACCAAGCGCGUGUGCAUCAUAUAUGUGAUGAUGGCGCCACGUCGGCUCGUUAGCGACCCAGGGCGUAUAUGCUUCAACUAGGUCGAUGAUGCGGCUACCUCGUGUGAGCGUGACGAGGAGCAUCUCGAUGCUGGCGAUGUCGACCUUGACGAGGGGCGCGCAGGCUCCCGCAUGGCGUCGUGCCCGGCAGUGAUGUCGCCCUUGAUAUAGAGGUGGCGAGCAUGGCGCGGAGCGAGCUGAUGGACGACGCACCGUCGAGCUCCUCGAUGCCAUCAAGUAUGUCAGACUCGUCGGUGCUGCCGGUGCUUGCAUGGCAGGGCUUCAACGGGUCGUGAGAUGACACAGAGGGACUCUGUGAUGGGCGACUCCAGCACGGUUUGGGCGUGACGAUGGGCUGCUCCGGUCCGAUGACGGUCCCGGCCAGCGCGACCGCCGGCCAGGCUAGGUGCGUAGAGCCGUGCGUCUUGCCGCCCGCUGCGCCUCCGUGCUUGUUCUUCAUGUAAGGCGCCGCCGCGCUCCUUGCCUUGUGCAGGUCGCUGGCUCCUUCUUCGGGCUUCUCAACGUGCUAGGGCCUGCAUGCUGGCCUCAGGCUCCUUCGCUCUCCGGCCGGUAGCUUUAGCGUCAGCUCCCCUUCUCCUUUGUGAUUGAGUUCUCCUUAUAUAGGCAGGCAGCUACGAGAGCUCUCCAAGAUACGAGCUGUUAGCCUGUUCUUAUCUGCGGAUUGAGAUGAAGUUUGUUGCGUGCGCCUGCGCCGUCAGGAAGUUGUUUGGCGCUGCUGAAUUCACGGCUGCAUUGGAUCAGAUAAGGAUCGUCUACGUUGACCAGCCGGUGCGUACCAUGCGUAUACAUUUAUACACGGCCCUGCAGUACAAUACAUGCUGCAUCAGCGUGUCGACGGAGCGUAUAUGCUGCUCGCCGGAAUAAUUAAUUAGAGGCUAAUAUAUGCGAUCAGCUCUCCUGAAACAAAUUGACAAGCUUCUACUAGCUAGCCACCUCGUUGUAUUGACUAUUGAGCCAGCACGUGGAGUGAUUGUUGGCCAUUUGUACAUGCAUGCAGCUGGUACUACUAGUAGGACGACAUUUUGGGCUUGGUUGCACAGACAUUAGUCAAGGUCCAUGAUGAUCAUGAUUAUUUGCAGCACGCGACGCCUACUUUUUUUUUUCCUUGUGUUGAUUCAAUUUUGCACCGAAUUUUGGUACAAAAUCUCGUCGAACAACCUUCUGCCCGGAUUGUUGUUGCAUCCUUUUUUUGACAGAGUUUGUGAUGUCUCUCCGUAGGGAUUCGUGGUUUACUUAAUUGUGUUUUCUUUUUCUUUUGAGCACCCGACCACAAUGUUGCUGUAAAGUCAGGGAGGAUGGAAACUAUUCUUGUCAAGUCGUUGAAUAAUGCAUAGAACCUGUGCUGUCUCUAUUUACAUAACCUCGGCACGGUCUCGAUUGAAGUGAAAAACCGUCUGAAGCGAAAUGCGUCCCAUGCUUGCCUGGUGGAGGCGAUAAAAGCACCGCCUGACGUCGAUGUCCUUCAUAAGGCCCCGCCGGCCGCGAGCAAGCUGGUGAGAGACUAUUCAAUCUGGUGCUGAGCCGGAACGCGCUGCUCCUGGCCGUCGUCUUCGUCCAAGGACUGCAGCGUCGCAGCUGCUGGAUGAGUGGCAGGAGGCAUGCACCGAUGCGUUGAGCGUCGUCUUGGAAGUGUGUGCUUGCUCCAGAUGUCUGAUGUCCACUGUUCAUGCAUGAAUCUAGGAAAUCAAUUUAUCCACCUUAAUAAGUGAAUAUCUAUCUUGUACUUCUGGAUGCUCUACUUGGGAGUCAUCUUCGAUUCGGCUGGCUUGAAAGACACAAAAGGUGUUCGAUCGGACAGUGAGCAGACAGCAUUGCAAUCUUUUAUCUUUAUAUCUUUGAAUCCUGCAGGUGGCAUGCUACAAGCAAGCAAGCAAAGAAUCGAUUUCUUUCUUUAGCGAAAGCCAAAGGUAAUAAUGAAAGAGAAAACAAAAGCAAAGGUAAGGAUCCUGGCUCUAGCUUGGUCUUAUUCUGCUCAAGGCAUUUGUGCACACAUACAAGAGCAAAGGUAAGGCACCCCAAAUAUUUCGUCGCAGCGUGUAGCUAGCAUGUCCCUUUUUUUAGCUCUCCAAUCAGGCCUUCUUGCAGUGGAACCUGAACAAUCUAUUUGGCUUCUCUCUGGGCUCUGGCUACAUGCUCUCGACAUAGUACAAAUUAUUCGACUUAACCAAGGUAUGAAACUAGCUCACCUCGCACCUGUUCUAAAUCUGCCUUCCUGCUUCUCCAGUUUUUUAUAAGCUAACUUUAUUUGUUGCUCCUGCUUGUAUAUCAAUAUAUGGAGGAAGUCUGGACCGGACGGAUGACCGGCUGAGAAAUCAAUCUGGAGAUUGUUGAAGAGCUGGCCUAUCGAUCUUAAACCGAAAAAUGGAAUCACUAUAGAGGCUGGAGAUCGACGGAUACGACCACUUCAUUAUGCGCACGGAGGUAUUUUUACACUUAGAAAUCAGCUUUCAUUCGAUCCUGCAUGUUAUAAAUAUAUCUUCUACCAAUUCGAGCCUUGUUAAUUUGGGUCAUGUAUUUUGUAACCUUUUACAUAGUGCACACUAUGCAUGCUCCACUUAGUAGAGUUAAGAAUAAUCCAAUCAGCACAUCAUGCGUGACAAUAUUGCUAAUAAUCCAAUACUGUGAGUCCACUUAUUGCGUGUUUUAUUAAUUAGUACCUAGUUUGAAGUCUGAAGUGAUCCUCACCUCAAAGCUUCACAUGAAUGCAGGUUAUUAAGGCGGACACUAUUGAUGCUGCUGUUGAUAGGAUUCUCAAUGAACUUGCGACAGACACGAGAAGAAGCGGCAAUAGAGAGAAUGUCAUCUACUUUGAUGGCUGGGACGGGCUUGGGGCAUCUGCCGUCCUUCAAGCCGUGGCCAAACGCCUCGCGGAGCCGUUGACAAGGCCUGCAGGGCUGGAGUUUGAGAAAAUCAUCCACAUCGACUGCUCAAAGUGGCAGAGCAGAAGAGCCAUGCAGAGGGAAAUCGCAGUGCAGCUGAAGCUUCCCAAUAGGGUGAUGCAGAUGUUUGACAAACAAGACGAGGACGAUGAUUUCAGUGGGUUAGACCAGGGCUCUCGCGGUGAGAUAGAAGUCGGAGAGAUCUAUGAAAGCAUACAGAAUCAGAGAUUCCUUGUGAUCCUGCACAAUGGAAGCAAUGAAGAGAUUGAUAUAUUCAAUUUUGGUUUUCCUCUAAAUGGAUAUGCCAAUAGCAAGAUGCUGUGGACAUUCCAAGGGAGGUUUCGACUUGACCCCAAGAUGAUAGACAAAGUGAAGAAGAGCAGAACAACACAUGUUCUUAUUUCAGCUUCAAGAGAUGAGCGAGAUCUGCAGGAGCUUUGGUCUUAUCUAGUGCGCCAUGAGGCUGCUCAAGUUUCCUGCAAUAAGCAUGGCCCCGGCAUGAUUGAUCCGUCGGUUGCUGCCGAGUGUGUGUUGUAUAUGCUGAAACAAUGCUCCAUCGGCUCUCACACCGUGGACUAUGACUGGGCUAUCCACACCAGUAACUACUGGGUAUGCGAUGGGAUCAUCACACCGACUGACAUUGACAAAGCAUGGCAAGUUGGAGAUUUUCUGCAGCACGGGUUGCAGUUGCUGGACAUUAACAACCAGCUUAGCAGUGAUGAGUCAAUAAUAAUGCCGUCCUUUCACCUGUCAAGGUCUACCGAGCGCAUUCCGUACUGGAUUUCCACAACAACUUGUGGAUUUAUGCUGAGCCCCUCUGGUGUUAUCCCCGACUACAUGUUUCAGUACUCGCACAGGCUUGGCGUGCUCAAGCUAUCAAGGUGUACCUUCAGCUUCUCAUCGCCUCCGUUCCUCUGUUGCCACAGCCUGAGGUUCCUGUGGCUUGACCACUGCGAAGACCUCCAAACAGGAAGCAGCACCACAGAUCAUCACCAGCCAGAUGCAAAAAAGGAGGAGAAGGAGUUGGACAAUAGCGACAUGACAUCAUGGAAGUGCUUCCAAAGCCUGUGGGUGCUUGACCUGCGCUACACAGAUUGGGAUCAGAUCUUGUCAGCACAGGUGAUGGAUUUGAUGACCCAGGUCAGGGAGCUAAAUGUAAUGGGAGCCAAGAACUGGGACAUGAGCAACCUACGGGGACGGCUGCAGAACAUUCGCAAGCUCCGGGUAACAGAGUCCACCUGCUGCUUUGACAACAACGUGUUCUCAGAGAUGGAUGGCUUGGAGCUUCUUGAUUUCUCGGGAAAUACCAUCAGCCAAGGCAUGACAAGCUUAUCUGCGGCAGCAAGCAACACUAGCCUUGAGACUGUUAUUAUUGAUGGAUGUGAUGGGUUAAAAGUUAUCUCUUUGAGGGGCUGCAAAGAAUUGAGGAACCUGUUCUUCAAAGGAUUGUUUCGGAGUCUCGAGGAGCUGGACCUCUCGGGCACAAAAGUGAAAACCCUCAACCUCGGAGAAGUGAGAGCCAACUCACUCCCCAAGCGGAUCAUCCUGCUUGGCUGCCAGAAGCUCCAUGCGAUAUUAUGGCCACAAAAUAUUGAUACGGAAGAAGCACCACAUGUGCUAUGUAUCGAGACCACCUCAACUUCAGCGUCAGUUGUAACACCAACAGAGCUCACUGGUGGCGAAACACCACAUGCACAUCCGCAUGGUGAAGGAUCCCUCCAGCAGCAAAAAGAAGAAAAGUUCAAGGGUGGAUGGCAGAUUACUCUUACAGAUACAAGGCUCCUUAGGUCAAUUUCUCCUGUACAUAGUUACCUCUCAACUGCAUCCGUACAUCUUGAUAUCAGUUCUGCAGCCGCUGUUGGUGGUAGCAAUAUCCAAGGAACAAGCAACGAUAAACUAGUGCAAGUCCCACCGCAUACAAGUACCAUAAUGGACUCCAAGUACAGAGAUGUCUUGAAGCAUGGCUCAGUUCCAGCAAUGAUGAUGUGGGACUGCCCCGAGAUAUUUCUGUGGUCAGCCGAGAGGACAUGUAUCAUAAAGGUUGUCUUGCAUUUGGGGCAGGGCAACAAACUGUUGGGGGAUGCUCCAACUGCUAUUACUAAUGCUUUACUGUGGCCUGAUCUUACAUGUGUGCUGGCUACAUCACUCCACGUAUACAAUAACUCUUCCAUCACCAGUAUCCCUGUAGCGCCCAAUCGAUUACAAUGGCAUAUCGAAAGAUGGUGCCGGGUGGAGAGGUGCCCCAAGUUACACACAAUCUUCACUCUUCCCCAGGGCAGUAGUGUGGAUAAUUUUUAUUUUCUGGAGACAUUCUGGGCGUCCCAGCUUCUGACGACCUGCUACAUCUGGGACAGGACAAUUUUUCUAACCUCUCAUACCUUUUCAAACCUGAAGUUUUUGCACCUGGACUACUGCCCCAGGCUCUUGCAUGUGCUCCCCAUCCAUGCUAGCUCUUUGUCUGGACUAAAGACUCUCGAGAUAGUCUACUGCGGUGAUCUCAGGGAGGUAUUCCCAUUGAGCCCUGAGCUUCAAGAUCAGGAUACGAUUAUAGAAUUCUCCAAGCUAAGGCGCAUCCACCUGCACGAGCUCCCGACGCUGCAGCGCAUCUGUGGGCGCAGGAUGUACGCGCCUAAACUUGAGAUCAUCAAGAUCAGGGGCUGCUGGAGCCUCAGGCGUCUGCCGGCCAUCGGACACGACACCAAGCCGCCCAAGGUUGACUGCGAGAAGGAGUGGUGGGACAACCUGGAGUGGGACGGGGUGGAGAAGUACCACCACCCUUCCCUCUAUGAGCCGAGCCACUCAAAGUACUACAAGGCCAAGCUGCCAAGAGGCAGCCUACUCAGGUGAGACUGAGAUAUUAUGCCAAGAGGCAGCCUGCUCAGGUGAGACUGAGAUAUUAUGCCUCCAUAUCUCCCUACUCUGCGAAUAAACUUACUUUUAUGCUAACUUGCUAAUGUAUGUAAUGCUUGUUUAUGUAGUUAAUCAUCCCUAUCCUUGUUGUUUUAUUAUGCUGCAGGUAAUCUGCAUGCGUGUACGUUGAACAUGCAGUGCUGCCCACAUGACUGAAGCUUUCCUGCCGUGUGUGUGUGUAUGUGUUGCUUGCUCGGCUUCCUGCUUGAUUGGUUUGGUGUGGCUUGACUUGGUUUGAUUUGAUUUGGUUUGGUCAUCCUUGCUCGACCCAUCAAAGUACUAAUCAUCUGGUUGCAUAGGUGAUGGUACACGUUAUCGAGCAAAUGAGAAAUAAAGCAGAGCAGGCAUUAUUCAGCUUAUAUAUGCAAGAGUACCCCUGAGUGCUCAUGUCGUUGCACCUGCUCCCAUGUGUGUCUGUUUUGGUGUGGAUUGUCAGCUGUGGGCUGAUUGUAAUUUGUAAGCAUAAAUGACGAUGAUUGUGUAUGUGCUGUUGCUUGUUAUGUAUGAAUAAUCAGCUUUGGACUAAUUGUGAUUUGUAAGCAUAAAUGAUGACUUUGUGUGUGGUUUCUUUGGUCUGCUCUAGUCUGAAAUCUCAUGCGAUAAUUUUGGGUGGGAGUAUAUAUUCAUGAUAGAUGUCCAUGUUGAAGGAACUUGUCCCCGCAUGUCGUCGGAUAUUUCACCAUCUGUUUCUCUGGGCAGGGGAUGCUGUUUUAUUCCACGGCUAUUCUUAUGUCUUGGACUUGAUGGUGUUAUUGUAACUGGUUAGGCCUUCAUGUGCUUCCUGAGUAGUAUGAGGUCCAUGCAUGUAAUAAAUUCCGGCAAUUGUGUUGAUUUAUUUUGUAUAUAUUGGGUAUUUGGGUUGCUGUGUAAGUAGUGUAACCUCAGUAAUUUAUUUUUCUGUUUUUUUAGCGAAUAAUUUAUUUCUCUGUUUUUUUAGGGGAAUUUAUUUUUCUGUUGACUGCCAAAAAAACGGUGAGACAAAAGAAGAAGAAGAAGAAGAAGAAGAAGAAGAAGAAGAAGAAGAAGACAUUGUUGCUCUCCAGGCCCAGUGGGUGCUCUGUGCAUACGGGCCUCGAUUUCAGCUCUUUUUUUUUUGGUGGAGCCUCGAUUUCAGCUCGGUUCUGAAGAAAGGCCUUUCCGGACAGUCCUUCAGCCCAUAGGCCUCAAUCUGAGGUGUCUAACGAGAUAUUGGCCCAGCCCAUCUUGAUUUACUACUCUACUCCCAAAGCCCAAACCGCCGGCUUCGUUCGUUUCCCUCCCUCCCGCAAUGGGCAGCCGCCAGCUCUGCGACCAGUACGCCUCCCACCUCGCCGCCGCGGCGCACGCCGGCGGCCGGCAAGGGGCGAUCCUCACGGCCGCCGUGCACGCCCUCAUCCUCCGGACCCUCCCGCACCCUUCCCCGACCUACCUCCUCAACACGCUCCUCACCGCCUACGCGAGCUCCGGCCUGCUCCCCCACGCGCGCCGCGUGUUUGACGCGAUGCCCGGCCGGAACCUCGUCACGGGCAACUCCCUCCUCUCGGCGCUCGCCCGCGCGGGGCUCGUGCGGGACAUGGAGCGCCUCUUCACGUCGCUGCCGCAGCGGGACGCCGUCUCCUACAACGCGCUCCUGGCCGGGUUCUCCCGCGCCGGCGCCCACGCCCGCGCCGCCGGGGCGUACGUGGCACUGUUGCGGGACGAGGCUGGGGUCAGGCCCAGCCGCAUCACGAUGUCUGGGGUGGUCAUGGUCGCGUCGGCGCUCGGCGACCGCGCGCUCGGCCGGCAGGUGCAUUGCCAGAUCCUGCGGCUCGGGUUCGGGGCGUACGCCUUCACGGGGAGCCCGCUCGUCGACAUGUACGCCAAGGUGGGCCCCAUCGGGGACGCCAGGCGGGUGUUUGAUGAGAUGGAGGGAAAGAAUGUGGUGAUGUGUAACACCAUGAUCACGGGGCUGCUCCGGUGCAAGAUGGUUGCGGAGGCGAGGGCGUUGUUUGAGGCGAUAGAAGAAAGGGAUUCGAUUACUUGGACUACGAUGGUUACCGGGCUGACGCAGAACGGGCUGGAGUCGGAGGCGCUCGAUGUUUUCAGGAGGAUGAGGGCUGAGGGUGUUGGCAUUGAUCAGUACACUUUCGGAAGCAUCCUUACGGCGUGUGGUGCGCUUGCUGCAUUGGAAGAGGGGAAACAGAUCCAUGCCUACAUAACCAGAACUUGCUACGAGGACAAUGUGUUCGUUGGAAGUGCGCUUGUUGACAUGUAUUCAAAGUGCAGGAGCGUCAGAUUAGCAGAAGCUGUUUUCAGAAGGAUGAUGUGGAAAAACAUAAUCUCAUGGACUGCGAUGAUUGUUGGUUAUGGACAGAAUGGGUGCGGGGAGGAGGCUGUGAGGGUGUUCUCGGAGAUGCAGAGGGAUGGCAUUAAGCCUGAUGAUUUCACUCUGGGCAGUGUUAUCAGUUCUUGUGCUAAUCUAGCAAGCCUGGAAGAGGGAGCACAGUUCCACUGUCUGGCGCUUGUCUCAGGGUUGAGGCCGUAUGUUACAGUGUCUAAUGCACUUGUUACCUUGUAUGGGAAGUGUGGCAGCAUCGAGGACGCACACCGCUUGUUUGAUGAGAUGUCGUUUCAUGAUCAGGUCUCCUGGACAGCCCUUGUCAUGGGUUAUGCACAGUUUGGGAAGGCAAAAGAAACUAUUGAUUUGUUUGAGAAGAUGUUGUCUAAGGGUGUGAAGCCUGACGGGGUAACGUUUAUUGGCGUCCUUUCUGCUUGUAGCCGUUCAGGCCUUGUGGAUAAAGGCCGCAGCUAUUUUCAUUCCAUGCAGCAGGACCAUGAUAUUGUGCCCUUGGAUGAUCACUACACAUGUAUGAUUGACCUGUAUAGCAGAUCAGGGUGGUUAAAGCAAGCUGAGGAGUUCAUAAAGCAGAUGCCACGCUGUCCUGAUGCGUUUGGAUGGGCGACAUUGCUGAGUGCAUGUAGGUUGCGUGGUGACAUGGAGAUUGGCAAAUGGGCCGCCGAGAAUCUCUUGAAACUUGACCCUCAAAACCCAGCGAGUUAUGUGUUGCUGUGCAGCAUGCAUGCUUCGAAAGGUGAAUGGAAUGAUGUUGCAAAGCUUAGGCGUGGGAUGAGGGAUAGGCAAGUGAAGAAGGAACCAGGCUGCAGCUGGAUCAAGUAUAAGAAUAAAGUCCACAUCUUUUCAGCUGAUGACCAGUCUCACCCCUUCUCCAGAACAAUUUAUGAAAAGCUACAGUGGCUCAACUCUAAGAUGGUGGAAGAAGGAUACAAGCCUGAUGUCAGUUCUGUGCUGCAUGACGUGGCGGAUGCUGAGAAAGUUCACAUGCUCAGCCAUCAUAGCGAGAAGCUUGCAAUUGCCUUUGGCUUAAUAUUUGUUCCACCAGAAAUGCCAAUUCGGAUUGUCAAGAACCUGCGGGUCUGUGUGGAUUGUCAUAAUGCUACCAAGUUCAUUUCUAAGAUAACUGGGCGUGAUAUUCUUGUGAGGGACGCUGUCAGAUUUCACAAGUUUAGCAAUGGCAUUUGCUCUUGUGGGGAUUUCUGGUAAUUUCUCUGUCUAACUGGCAAGAUUGUACAUGCUUCAACUUGAAAUAUAAGUGGUAAGUGCUGCUGGAAGAGAAAGAGAAAUGUUGAGCAACACAAAGAAUGGAUAACAUUCACCAGCCAUCAUCUACAGUAAGGACAAUUCAUGUGCCCUGCAGGUGCAGAGUUCAAAAGAGGUAUGUUUAUGCCUGUAAGAGUGUUUGCGGUGGUUCUGCUUGGCCGAGGUCAUUGACAAUUCUGCCAUCAUUAGGUACAGGAGAACAAGGUGCAGCAGGAGCUGCAAAGAACUCACGAGAAAUGCCCCUGAAGGACUAAUGCAAUGGAACAUCAGAAUGGCUGAACCGCUGGAGUCAUUGGUUGCAUCCCCAGGAACACCAGAGCAUGGCCAGGUUAGUGUAUUUUCCAUAUCUGCAACACAAAGUGCUAUCCGGUAUGUGGAGAAUCUCUUUUUUUUGUCCGUUAAAUUUUAUGGAGCUACAUGGACACAGUGUUCUCCUGCUUCUUCUGCAAUUGUACACAGGGUUGAGACAAUAAAUACCAACUGAAAAUUUGAAAGGCAAAAAUUUCUGAAAGAACUUUGGACUGAUGUGAUACAUGUACAACUCUAGCUUUGCAUCAUGGCAUCUUCCACUAGCUACUAAAGCUACUAGAAGGCCUCGACAAUGAAUAGGGAUAAUUAAGAGGGAAGAAAAGACAAGAGUAGAGCAAAAUUAAGAAGGGAAAUACACAUAUAUGCUACCAAAAAUAAUCUUUCCAUCUUUUUACAAUGAAGCCAUGUAUGCUUGGUUGUAGGAUGAGUCCAUCUCAUGGACAACGAGGCUCGUGGCGGUGACCCGGGCGCCAGUGGCGUUGUUGAAGAGGUACACCCCAGCAUUGGCGUAGAUGGCCUCAGUCGGGUACACCCGCGACGUCGCUGUUGAUCUCCCGCCCUGUGCGAAGCUCUCAACAAUGGAGUGGUCCACCAGCACCCUGACCGACAGCGCCUCACCGUCAAGAACCGGCACGACAUUGCCGACGACCCUCUUGACGAUCUCGUUGGCGCGGGACGAACGCGUCUCAUCCUGGCAGAAGUGAGUGUGCAGGCGGCCGUCCAGGCCCCUGGCGACGUAGAAGUAGACGGCGGUCUGCUCCGUGCCGUCACCGUGGUGCCUGGCGUCGGCGAGCACGAGCAGACCGAAGGGGCCGAGUGCGCCCUGGCCUGCCGCGCCACCGCUGGUGCUGCAGUUGUAGCCGACGUCGGCCUCCUGUGCGGCGGCAAUGUCGAGCGGGUCGAGGCGGAACUCGGCGAGAAUGUCGAGCUGGGUGGCGCGGUGGAGCCUGAGCGGGAAGACGGAGCCAUGGUCGACGGUGACGCCGCCGAAGUCGGUGGAGUUUGUCCGGAGAGUCUCCACCUCGUCCACCGGCCACUGAAGGAGGUUACUGCCGGUCUUGGUGUCCAGCACCACCGUGCGAGGGAGCGACUGCAGAGAAAAAAAUAGCAUAAACAAUUGGCACUGAUUAAUUAAAUUGAUCAGCAACUUUUGAAUCUAAUUUAUUUAUAUAAACACCGUAUGAUUCUAUCACUGUUUUUAAACUUGAAGAAUCCUCUUUAUCAUUGUGACAGCAAAGAGAUAGUACUAAUUGUGGGCUAAGCAGACAAGUGAUCCCUUUUCUUGUCUAAUCCCAGUUUGGCUGUACCAGCAGAAAUGAUUUAGUUUGUUAGUUAGUUAGCUGGUGGCACCAAAUUGCCAAUCUUGCAUGCCACUAGACCACAUGGGUGGCACAUGAGUCAUGGGUAUGUGCAUCCAGAGCUUAGCCUUGUUUGUGGGACACAUCUAGCUAAUCUAAGCUAGCUGCAUUGUGCAGUGAAUUGAAGGUAUCCCAACAGUGUCUGGCUGGAAUUGUAAAAUGAAGCUAAGGGGACACUUGACAACGAGAUGACAGCAACAUUGAUUUUGUUGCUGCACAUACAUGCAUGCAGCUACGAUUUCAUCACAAGUGGAUGCUAUUAUAUGCAUGGCCCACACACACCCCAUGCCGACGUGUCUGUGGAACCCAGUAAAAGUGUAACACUAGUGAUCAAGCUCAUUAUCUAAAAACAGUAAUCAUGCUAGCUAAUUAACAAAUGUCAUCGAUCUGGAAGAAGAAGAAGAAAGGGAUGUUAAGUACCUGGAGUGAAGCCCAUCCUUUGGCCACGUCAGCCCUCUCGGAGUCGGUCUCGCCGACCCAACCCCAGAGAACUCUCCUCUUCUUCGCCGGAUCAUAGAACGUCUUGGAAGCGUAAAACUUGCCCCAAUCGUACCUCAGCCCAAUCCCAACAUCAGCCUCCUCAUCCAAGGGCGUCCACUUAUUGGCCUUGGCAUCAUACUUCCCCAACGCAUAGUAAUCAUGCCGGUCAUCGUCCAUGCUCGCCUUCAUCACGUACACCGUCUCCUCUCCGCCUCCUUCGUUGCUCGACGCCGCCAUUGCCGCCGUCAUGUCGAUGCCGUGCUUCCCAGAGACAGGGUAUAGAUCAAUGCACUCCCACAUCCCCGUCGCCGGCACACGGUGCAACAACCCAGGCACGAGGUCGUAGUUGACGAAGUCGAUUGUCUUGUAGGUCAUGGCAAUGCCGGCAUGGUGGGCGUCCUUGGACCCGAUGACGAUGCGCCACGUGUCGUCCUCCGGGUCGCGCCACGCGGUGGUCGGGUCCCGGAAGUCUCUCUCCCCGAUCUCCGUGGGCGGGUACAUGACCGGGUUCCGCUCAUCCUUGGUCCACUCGAUCAACAACGGGUCUUCCGGGUCAGAAGGGAACGCCAGACACUGGACCUGCACGGAAGCGUUGGUGGACCCCGUGUAGAGCAUGGCGAGCGUGCCGUUGGGCAGCACGGUGGCAGACCCCGUCCAGACGCCGUUGAUGUCGUACCACUGGUCCGGCGACAUGGCGAUGGGGAGGUGGCGCCACCGGAGGAGGUCCCGGGACACGGCGUGGCCCCAGGCGAUCUUGUUGCCCCAGAUUGCGCCGGUAGGGUUGUACUGGUAGAACAGGUGGUACCACCCCUUGUAGUACACCGGCCCUGCACAGUCAAAAAGAAUUUUUUGCAUCGAAUAAGAAUUCCAUUUGGAUUUACAUUAAAUUUAUUAGCAUUUAAAUUAAUUUCUGGAGGCUAUUGUUAAAGGGGGAAUCUUGUAACUGAAUAGCGUGUGGAUAUUCAGAUUCCGAAGGUGUCUCUAACAAGAAAUGCCAGGAAACCGUCGAUGCGUGCAUGCAGGAUUCAGAUUCCAUCUCUAACAACUACCAGGAAUUGCAGGAAAUUAAUCGAUUGAUUCAUGGCGUGGAUGCAACAAGAAGAACAGAGUAUUACUGGAAACGAGAUUGACUGGAACAGAACAGAGUAAGUAAUCAAUUACUAAUGGCGUAAUCUGGAAAGAGGAAGAACAGAGUAGAAUCUGGAAAUGAAAUUGCUUGUUGCCGGAGACGAAGAAGAAGAAGGAUUAAGAAGGUAAUUACCGUUGGGGUCGUUCAUCCAGUUCUUCUCCGGCUGGAAGUGGAACCCGGUGCGCUGCCAUUGGAGCAUCGCAUUGCUCCACGGGAACGCGUUCUCUUCACCGGCUCCGGCGCCCAGCCUGACAUCCACGGCGGCGCCGGACGUCUUCUCCGACACGCCCGCCUCGGGCCCCCUGCUUCCCAGUACGGCCGCCGCCGGCUGCUCCUCCAGGACACCUCCGUUGGCGGGCAGGUGUCCGGCGAGGCGGACGCCGGCGAGCGCGGCGAGGGACAGGAGCACGGCAGCCGUCGUCAGCAGGACGGCGGCGCACACCGCUCCCCCGCUGGCCCGGCGGCGGCCGCGCCCCGGCUGUGCGGCGGCCUCGGCGUCGUCCGGCAGCGCCGCGUAGGACGAGCACGGCAGCGCCGGCGAGCCGCCGUCUCUGGCCUCCAUUAAUGUCAUCAGGAAAUUUCGAAUCGAGAUGCCAAUCUCGAUUUGGAGAGAUGGGGAACAAGGAAGGAAAGGAUUAAUGGAGCAGAAAAAGGGAGAUCUUUGCUAACAGGGAGAGGGAUUAGUGGAAGAUCCUCUUCUUCUUUCUUGUGCUAAUCUCAACAAGAAGAAGAAGAAGAAGAAGAAGAAGAAGAGGCGGUGCGUGUUUGCCGAGGAGCUCUGCUGCUUCUCGUGCCGGUAUUUAUACUCUCCAAUCUCUCCAUCCAUCCCUUUCGGUUAAUUAUAUCAUUAUAAUCCUUCUAUCUCUUAAUGAUAUCAACAACAAAGAAAUGUAAUUAAACAGCAUAAUGCGUCUGCGCGGCGGGCCCGGCAUGCCAGUGAGGGGAACGCUGGUUGGUUAAUCAUGAUCCACAGAUUCCAUCCAGGCCAGGACACGUUGAUUAUAUAUAUCCAGCUGGAUUAUUAAGGAUCAAGUUAAGAUGGAACAUGGCAUGUAGAGCAGCAGCUAGCAGCCGCCGUUAAUUUGUCCUUGUGGGAAAUUUACUUGUUGGCUGAUCAUCAGAUCAUGGUUUAGUUAGUGGCUUGAUGAUGAUGAGUUGGAUGAUCUAUUUAGCGAAGAAAGACGCACGACACGCCAUGGAUAUAUAUGAGUAUCUAUCUCUUCGAGAGUAUUAAGUAUCAGAGAUCCAGAGAUCCCUAUCUUUAGAAGAUAGGCAUCAAACAGAAAACCCAUAACUUCUGGACUUGCUUUUCCAUUUACGACGACAUUUGUGCUAAUGUAGCACAGCAAACCCGUGAUUUCGUAGUCCCGCUGCCUACGCGUAGAUCUGAUCGUCGGGCCCCACAAGUCAGCCUUUGCACCGGAGCCUGACCAUAUGGCCAUAUAACCAUGCUUUUUUUGCUUGGUCAGGCCGGUCAGAACGGGGAGCCUGACCAAAUGGCUUGACACAAACAGACCACUGAGCCGUCAUUGCUCCCGGCGCCUCUUCGGGCUCGCCGGGCUCAGGGUGGGGGUUGGAUGAGGCGAAAUUGUUUUUUUUUUUUGGGUUUAUGUGACCUUCCAAAUAGGUCUUGUAUACUUGAACAAUGAUUUAGUCCAAUCGUAUACAUUUAACUACUCGUACAUAA